GGGGCUCAAUAACAUUCACCAUGAAAUGACGAGUCCCCUCCUCCUCAGAAUCAUUUGUGUCUCUAUUCUUUGCUACAAUCAUGGGAAACAAAUGCCACUUAGCAGAAAUUUUGGUCUAUAAAACAAAUUAAUGUCCAUGACAUUCAUCACAAUAUAGUUAACAAUAUUUAUUUAAAAAGUCCUGUUCCCUUUUGUUUUUUUCCCUAUAAAAACAAAAAGAAAAGCUCAGGAAAUCCAAAAGUACACUUCUAAAAACAAGUUUAACACAUUCGCAUAUUGGACAUAAAAUAUAAGUAAUUCAGAUUUCAUGGGGUGGAAAAUUUACCAACUACAGCAGAUGACGAGUUCCCAACCACAACAGAUGGAGAGUUACCAGAUGUCGCUGAUGAUGAGUUCCCAACUGCAACAGAUGAUGAGUUCUCGGUGGCUGAUGAUGAGUUUUCUAAUUUAACGGGAUGUGCUGGAGAUGAAAGUGAACCAGAGGUCUCUGCAUGCUCGACGGAAGAGGAAGUAACACCAUGGCUGGUAGUAGAGGGUUUAGAGUUACCAUCUUGUUGCAUUUCACCACCAGUAUGUGCCUGGUUCUCCUCGUGUAAUUUCCUUUGGGCAUACUGCCUAGAAGGAGAAGGUUUGGAUGGCUGAAAUGCUUUGGAUAAACCACCAACAAAAGACCAAACAGCAUCUCUAUUCUCAAUAGUCCACAGAAGCUUUAGCCCAUAAACAAAUAUACGCUGACAAUUGUCAGCUAUUACCACAUUGUAUCCAUCAUCAUCACUAUGAUCAGACCGUGUAUGCUCAUCACUCUCACUCCCAUUUUCAAACUCAGACCUCACAUAUGUCAUCUCAAGAUUUUUUCUUCCAGCCUCUUGCCAAGCUAAUAACCUGGCUGGGUCAGCUUUUGGCGCCUGCCUUCUUAUUGUGAAAUAAUCAGAUGACAAUAGAAAUCCAUCAUCACGAUGCUUCUCUGUGCAACUACUCACAUAGUUACUUUUCUCAUUGGGACCUCUAUCCGUAGAUGCAGAUUGUGAAUUUUUUAUUGUCAUUUGAACCACUUUUGCAACACUAGUACUUUCUUUUUUAUUUAAAAAUGCCUUAGGCAUAUGAAGGUCAAAACCCUGGUAAACAAGAUCAAGAGGCUCACGCUUGCAUUCAAAAGUAUACUUUUGCUUACCACGACUAUAACACAUUUCACAUUUGAGCUUAGUCAUAUUAAAUGUCAGUCCCUUAGCUGGAUCAUCAUCAUCUAGCGGCAUAUGUUUUAAACAUGUAGGUGCAGCAUCAAUGCGGAGCAUAAAUUCUGUCAUUACUCUGUCCAAUGACAAGUUACCAGAUCUAGGAACUCUUGGAACUCCAAAACGAGGCCAACGAGCAAAGGACCGCAAUUUGUGAGGAGGAAGAUAAUUCAUGUUCCAAAACUUUAUCAACCAUGCUAGAUCAUGAGCGCCAACAUUUAGUGUCGGUGAAAGAACGGAAACAUUGUCAUCUUUAUGAGGAGGACCAUAAACAGUUCCAUCUACAUCACCAUUACCUGCCUCGGUAGAAAAAGUGCUUUGCUUUUCAAGUGGAGAGGGCCUAAGAGAAAAGGUCCAGCGAAGGGAUAGAGAGGUGGAUCUGUAUGGAUCAAAAACCUUAUCACGAGGUCUUCCUUCAGCAGGAAGUGCAAACAAAUAAUGAUUCAUGGGAUUUCCAGAUUCACAUUCCCAACCUAAUGUAACUUCAACUGUAAAGGCUGGAGCCUCUAGCAAUGGACCGGAUACACCUUUAGGAAGUUUUAAACCACGAUUAUUUGCCAAACUCUCCAAACUGCUUAAGAAAAUCUUGAAAGCAUUUGCUGAUACAUAAAUACGGCCAUCAGACUGCUGAAUCUCCAUAGAACCAGUUAUUAUUUGAAGUUUGUCAAGCUUUUCAUAAGGAUCGGUAGUCGCUAGUAUAUUAAAUUUGGCUUCUGAAAAUAAUAAGGUGAUGUUUCCAUGAAUAUAAUUUCUCAUAUCAUCCCACCAUGGUAAGCUCUUUUCCUUUUUGGGAGGAGUGGGAAGUGGAUUAGGGUUCCUAACAGAUAGAUUAGCCCUGCGAAGGGCCACAGAAAAAGCAUAAGUGACAUCAGCAAAAGCAGGUUCAUACCCCACCCCAAAGGACACUUCAGCUUUCUGAAAAUGUAAGGAUAAAUCUGUAAAUGUUUUCAUAGGUGGAGUUGUGCCACUAGCCGAACGAAGCAUGUUCACCUUUCUCCAUCUCCCAAUAUAGACUUCUUUGUAUACUUGAGGCUGAAAACUUGUUGCCUGAUCCAAAGAAAUAAUUUCCAAUUAUACAGCAUACGCGCACAAGUUUUGCAUGUAAGGACAUGAAAAAAUCACAUCAAGACCCAAAUAAUCAAUCAUGAUAUACAUACAAAGGUUUGAUACACUUUCAAAUAUCACUACAGGGUCUGAUCACAGAAGACAGAAGAAUGGUUUUUCAUUUUGACAAGAAGAAGAACCUGGGAGUCAUUUUAUCCAGGAAAAGAAAAGGUGAAGGAUAUUCAGCACCUUUUGAUGAAUGAUAUUGCUAGGGUCUCUAGGCAAUUAUUUUUCAUUAGUUUUCACUCUCUUUUUUCGGCCUUGGGCCUCAACUGGACCCCAACAAAAGGUGAAAUACAGGCAAUGCGUACAAGCAGUCUACAGAAGAUAUUAAGGCAGCUUAUGUGAGCAAAUCCAAAACAAGUAUUUUAACCUAAGAAAUAUGCACACAAACUCCGUUUCUUUAUUGUCCUUUAGCUAUAAAAAAAUGUCUCCUUUUCAGAAAAGGGAAAAAGAAAUAUGCUACUUAAAAAACAGGAAGGACCUGGUCAUCUAAACCCCACAAUGUCCUCUAAGACUUUUUAUGUCAGCAUGCAUGCACAUAGCAAUAGAUGCAAGUAUUUAGUCCUUAAUUAUCCAAGAAGAUGGAUUGUAUGAAAUCAAAUAAACUUAUAAUUCCACUUCACAAACAAUAUUCUUAGCGCAUGACCAAAAGGAGAUGCAUUGAUAAAAGGUGGGUAAUAUCCCCGCAUUUGACAUUUUACAAGAAAUUUACACUGGUUCUUGUCCAAAGAGUGGGGACAACAUUACUGACUACUUCAACAUGACUAAAUGAAAUGGCAUAUUGGCACAUUAACUAGCUCUUUAACUUUUUUUGAACCAUAUAAUCACUAAUCGACAAUCACAAUUGACGACUUGAUGUUGGACCAGAAAAACCACUUUGAAAGUGUUGGUUAACCCAAAGGAAUGAUCUUUCCACAUAGUAGAUUAUUUAAGCUGUAGAAAAUUAGUAAAUCUUUACUUUUAUUUCAUAAAGAGACAUUACUAAAAAGAAAAGAGGAGAAAUUAAGCUGGAGGAUAUGAGUAUUUCUUCAGCUACUUUGUCAAACUAUCUGACCAAACGUCAAGUUUUGCAGCACAGACGUUCAUCACUUGCAUUUCCAGUUUUGUUCUUUUUUUUCUUCUUUUUUUUUCUUAUCAUGGUAGGCUUGGCCAACAGAAAAUAAUUGGAAAAAACCAAUGUUCCUGUAAUCAAGAGGCGUCUAACGAUUUUCUUUCUUUUAAUAUUUUCUGCCCAAAAAUAGCAACUGGCAAAGCAAAUUUACAUAUGCUAAACCCAAGAAAUCAAAAGAAGGGUAACAAACGGAAUGUCACUUUGCAAAUUACCUGCUGUGCAAGUACAAGACGACCUUCACAUUUACCAGAAGUACCACACAAAAGAGGAGAUGCAUAAUCACGUAGCUGAACGACCAGAGAACCUGCGUGCAAGAGAAUAUUACUCCCAUAUAGUCGAGAAAAUGGUAUAUCAUUUUCACAACAAACCGGAUCUAGCGUCUUUAUGACCUCUAUCAUCCCAUCAUCUCCACCAUCAAUCCUUGUCAAGGUUACAUCUAAGUCUCUUGCUGUUAUGGAAAGAAGAGAAGUCCUAGAAGUACUUGGCUUAAAACCAGACUGAAACCCUUCCCUACAGGCACCUGAACCUUCAGAUGGUGCUAGAUUUUUGCAUGCCCUGUAAUAAGAUUUGAAUGAUUGUUUAUAAAUUUCUCCUUUCAUCUCAUUAACUGCUGAUGGAUCUUGUACAUCAAUCUCAACUCCAUUAAAGAAAGUUUUUCUUCCUUGAGUAGAAUCUACUGUUUCGGUUGUUUUAGGAAUCUGGUUGGCUUUGGAAACAAAUUCAUCAAGAAACUUCAACCUAACAGCUAACUCAGAUGCCUCAUUCUUCAUCAGCUGAUAAUGUUCAUCAAGCCAACCUUGCAGCGGCUCUUCUUCAAUAUCAGCAGUUAACUUUCGUAUGCCAAACUUUAAACAGCCAACUUUCAUUGAACCAGGCUUCUUAGGUUUUGAGGUAUCUUUCUUCGUGGGAAAGAUGAGGCUAGUUCUAGCAGCACUUACAAGCUUCAAAGCACGCAACAUUUCUUCAACAGAAUCAUCAAUGGCGCGCAAUUCUAACCUAUAUGGCAAGCAAAUAUGAACAUCAAGGCCUUGAAUUACCCAAUCCCAUGUUGUAGCUACAGGUGUUUUUGCGUCGGAAGGGCAUGAGGCACUAGGAACACGUGAAAUUUGCAUCCGGCUACUUUUUAAUACUCUGGACCCAUUAAAACUAAGCAUAAGCCCUUCAAGAAGUACACCUAUACGGGCAUUCUCAGAAAAAAUUGAUUGUACCUGAACCAUUGCAUCAACCCCAUCACCAGCCUCAGCAAAUAUGGACAGCAUUUCCACAUCUACAGCAAAAAUAGAUUCCCUCUUCUUGGGCUUGUCUAAAUUCACUGGUUCUGCAAUGACUUCUUUUUUCUGGUCAGAACCUUUCAUGCCAGGGGCAUCUUCACUACCAUGUCUCUGAAGCUUCUGAUUAUGUACAAGUAACUUCAACUGUAGUCCAAGUUCAACUAGUGAUAAUUGUACAUCAGGUUCCCACCUAACUGUAAUAUCAGUAGCACUGAAAAGAGAGCAAACAGCAACCUCUUUCAGACCACCAGAACGCCGUACAAAUUUGGAAUUCUGGAUGUCAAACAAAGCCACUUUCGUUUCCGGUUUAUCUUCCUCCAAGUGGUCCUGAUAGAUAGAUCUGGCUCUUUCAAGUUCAAUCUGUGUGGAUUGUUUCUCCUUGUUCACGCGCAAACUUAAAUGGAAGAUGUCAAGAGAAAUGGAAUACCUCAGUUUCUUGCGUUCAUCAGAUGUUGUGGACAUUAUGUCUGCAACCCGGGGUGUGCCAUCAUCUGAGGUACUUAUUACAACUCGACCACCUUGUGAUCCAUAGUUCACACGCUUAGGAUCUGCAACAACAGUAUUUUCUAAGCCUGCCUCACCACAAAAUUUCACAGAACAUCGUUCAAGAUUUAACUUCAACAGCUGAGUCCCUUUCCCUGAUGGUUUGGACGGACGCCCUCGGCUUUGUGAUGCUCUUCUUUCAGAAGAAGACAAAGUUUUCAAAAGUGCUUGAAAGGACAUUGCAGUUGAUAUAAGCGACUCAACACGCUUGAAUGUAAAAAACACACCCAUACCAGUCACAUCAACAGAUAAAACCAAUUUACAUUUCGGACCGUCUUCUUUGGAUGAUUCCAUGUCCUUUUUGCCCCAGUCCAGACUAACCUUUCCAACAUUAAUUAUAGAACCCGAAUUUGAUUCUACACCAAAAAGGCUCUCUUUCAAGCAUUCUUGGUAUUCAUCUGCCAUGUGCAAAUUUAGCUCACCAAGUUCCAUAUGUACAGUGGUUCCCGUAUUUGAUAUGUUAUUCGCAAAUAUGUGCGAUGAUUGAGAGCAACCCUACACCAGAAACUCAAAUGUUAUGACUUGUAAUUCAUAAUUUUAUUUUUGAACUAAAAAAAAAAAAAAAGAUUAACGGGAAUAGGAAUACAUGAUUAAUGACAAAUAAAGAAGCUGAAGCUAAAGAAGAGCAAGAGACACAAUGGCUACUUCACCGGACAGUGAAAAUUAGACGGCAAAUCAACAAAAACAGAGCUCUAUCACCUACAUAUAUGCAAAUGGUUUACAUUAUAAUAUGACUAAAUAUUAAUUGCUUAAGAACUUAGAAGUGCACUUGGGAGAGAAUGGUACUACAAUGUUGUUUUCUUUGAUCUAAUACAACUUUUUUCUUAAUCAAAACAGAAGGCCCUACUAUGUAUGACCUGCUGAGGGGUUUUAAUAUACACCACACUUUUACUCAUUUUAAAGGAAAUAGAAUAAAAACCACUCUGAAUUUUUGCAAUGGCGAAUGGAUGGUUUCAUAUCCUUUCACCUAUGAGUUCCCCAUGUACAUAAAAUGAUAUUCAAGCAAGGACAAGAAGAGCGCUCAAAACUCUACAAAUAUCAGGAAAUUCUAAUAAUAACCCAUUUGCUUACUACACCUCUCAUCUCCUUUAACAAAUUAAAGAUUUGCUCGAUAACCAACCUAAUCCCAAAUGCCCCCAAUUUGUAUAAGGGAUACUGAUCCUUUUGGAUUAGAUCAUGCCCCCAGGGUUAGAUUGCUGGCUUCCCUUUGUCUCCUUGUCAAAGCACGCAAGGGAUGUUUCUUUUAAUUUGAUCCAUGUGUAUUGGUCUGCCAUUUUAGUCUAAGUGGGUCUAUUUUCUCUAAGUCCGGAGUGGGGUUUGAGGGAUGUUUGAAAAAUCACUGCUUUUUAGGCGUUCGUUUCCAACGGUCUUUUCAUUUUAUUUUGUAUUUCUCCUUUGCCCCUCCAAUAAAAAGAUUGGAUUCUUAGGUCUUAUCACACAAAUGGCUACAACAUCCUUUUACUCACUAAACCAACCUAUGUAAACUUUUUACUCAUUAUAUCCCUCAUAACUCUCAAAACUCUUAACUAUGAAGACAUGAAAGCCACUGCCAUCACAGCCCACCGCUGAUCCACCGGGUCACUGGACUUGAAGAGCUACCACACAUUUCAUGAGACCUGCUCACCCACUCCCACAUGACCACACAUCUAAGCUUUUAGAAGCACCUUUUUGAAUUUCAUCUUCAGCGAAGACCUAGGGUGAAUCUUAAAUCUAAGCUCAUUUGUGGUUUCUGUAACUAUUUUCAUUGCUUAUGAUCUUUUUUGGCCUUUGUCUGUUAUGAUUUAUGUUGGAAAACAUACUCCGUGUGUGAUUUAAAAUCAUUUAAUGGAUUCAAGGUUUUUCAAACAUCAAACACCCCUCCAUGGCCCUUUUCCAGAGUGGCAACUAAUAACUGAGUGGUAUGUGAUCAAAUACGGGAAAAUGAAUAGAAUUUACCCUAAAUGAUUUUAGGAAAGUUAAAUCUAGAAUGCACUUACAUAAAUUCACUACCACUGUAAUCACUUGUUUGGUACCCCCACAGAUUUUCCUCAAAAUGUCUAAUAAAAUCACUCAAACUUAUGGAAGUGCUGUUUAAGCAUCUCUCCCACCGCAGUCAUCAUAACUGGGAAAGAAACUGUUGCGCAUCACACAUACCCUAAUCAUAUAAUAUGAAUCUACGAGGAAUGGAGAUGUGGGAAACUGUACCAGAAUUGCUGCCCUGAACUUUCUUAUGAUUUGAUACAUUCCUGCUUUUAUAUUGUCUUUUCCUAUGGUAAAAUUUGCAUAAAAUGCUUGAUAAUUUAUAUAACUCAAUUUGGCAAAAUAAAUGCCUUUCAGUGUUUGUUGUUCCUGGUUGGCUCUAUAAAUUUCACAUUAGAUAAUUAUAUAACAGAAAAAAACUGAUAUUGUACAGGAAAAUUUCACUUUUUCCAAAGUUUCUUACAUGCACAGACAAGAAUAUCUUACUCUUUAUACUUUUCCUGAUUUUUAUAACUAAUUUUAUAUCAUUGAUUUCGAUCCCAUGGCUUGCAUAUGGGUAAAUGCCCUCUGGGCACAAUUUUUUGAUAAAUUUACACAUAAAUAAAAAAACACAAAAAUAUAAGUUGUUCAGUGUAACCUCAAAAAUAUGAUAGUGCUAACAGAGAGUCGUAUCACUUACAUGAUACAAUGGCAACCCACUGAUGCUAUAAACCACAAUAGUCAUCUCAGGGGCUGAAACAGUACAUGUCCACAUGAUGGCUUUGGUAUCAUCGGUUGGCGGUGGCUUGUCAAGAGUGGAAGUUCCCUCCCGAAGCACCAUUCGUUUCUUUUUUGAGAAGUGGAGGCGCAACCAUGGCUUUAAUCUAUUCAUUAUAACGUUGCAUUGUGUACCUCCAAGCUUUACAUCCAUUUCAGCUCUGACAGGCAAGGUUGGCUGAAAAGUUAAAAGAGUUCCAAGUCAAUAAAUGACCCCCACCACAUCAAAAAUGCAGUGCCUGUUUCCAAUGAAAUAUUGCAUAGGGAAUUCCAUGGGAAAUUCCAGAUUUGAUUCUUUUCAAAAAAAUAUAUAUACAUCGCAUGGGAAAUUCUAGAUUUGUUGGAAUGGACUGUAGCAGUGGCCCAUGGAUCUUAUCAUGUGCUUCGUUGCUUUUAGAAACAUUGUUUUCAUUUAUUUAGAGACUAUGUCCUCAGUUUCUUUCUUUAUUUUCAUCAUAUAAAUACAUUCCAUAUUAAACAUGGAAAGCACUACUAGUAAGUAUAAACCACAAACCUUCAGUGAAAAACCACAAUCAAAUAAUCCUUGAAUAGUGCUAAAUCAAUGAUCCAUCAAUAUAUUCUUCUCAACAAAACAUAAAAAAAAACAAUCCAUCAAUAUAUUCAGUAUCAAAAUUAACUGUACAUGAUGAUAUGUUUAAUUGGAUAUAUUUACCCAACGUAUGCAAGAAGUAUAAAAUAUAAGCAGAAGGAAGAGAUUAACUUUUAGGAGACACAGGUUGAACAACUUAAACUAAAAAAACUUACCUGUACUGGAAUGUAAAAGAAUGAUGCAACAUCAACUUUCAGUAUCUCCAAAACAGAAAUGCCAGCUUCUCUAAGCAACUGAAACAUAAUGUCAAAAUCAUCAUCGAGAAUAGACCAAUAUGCAACGAAUGUGAAAAGUAAAACACUAAAAUCAUAUUAACAGUGUCAAAGUUACAUUCAUACAUGAAUCUCACUGAAAUCCAAUUGAACAUCAAGGCGUGUAGUCUCCCCCACAUCUUCACUGGAUUGUGAUUUGGUGCUUUUUAAUUGGAUACCCAUUAUGUUAUUCUCGACAGAAAAAUCAUAUUCCCGAUGCACAAAUCUCACGUCCAGUUUUGGUAAACUGAAGGAAACCUAUCAAAGAAGUAAAAUAUUAAUUCUUAUAAGGAACAAUUUAAUAAAAGAGAAGUUACACAAGUGGAUGAACCAGACGUUGAUGAAAGCACAUAAACAAGAACAAGGAAAGAUUCAAUUGUAAAUAAUUGCAUGAUACUUAAUAUGAUUCAAGAGGUUGACAUGGAAAAUGAAUUGCUAAUAUCAUCACAUUCAGUGCAACAACUCUGAGUAAUAGAUAUAGGGUAGAAAGAUGCAAGAGAAGCUGUCAGAAGGAAAUCACAUUAGAGUCCGGUGACAAGCAAAACAUGGCAUAAAAUAAAGGUUGGUCAGAGUUUUAAAAUAAUCUAUAGCCCACUCACUCUACUUCAAAAUAGGCACAAAAAAGUUCAUGACUCCUCUACCCUUUAUGACUCUUUCUGGACAGGGGAGAUAUCCUCCAAGGCACACUUCUGGCACUAGUUUAAACUUGUUUCAGCCUCUUAAUACUGUACCCUAAAUUACUGCUAUCACAUAACUAUUCGGGAUUUCACCUGACUGGUAAGGAUAAAGGAACAGCCUGGGAUAUGGGUAGGUGUUAGUCCAAAUCUUGGUAGGAGAAAAUCUAUACCAUCAUAUCGCAUGUAAUUUACAGCCGGUCAGCUGGAAUUUAGAGUUUAGGAGAAACCUAAGAGAGUCGGAGAUUGAAGAGGUGGCUGGUUUACUGCAGAAGGUGGAGUCCGUACGGCUGUGCCAUUCUAGAGAAGACAGGAGAAGAUGGAAUUUAGAAGGUUCUGGCCAGUUCACUUGCAAAUCUUAUAACUCUUUCCUUUGCAACAAUGAUGUUAUGCAUCAAUUUCCCCCUUUCGCUCAGAUAUGGAAAGCAAAAGUGCCUCCAAAAGUCAAAAUCCUUGUGUGGCUAGUGGCGCUCGGGAAGGUUAAUACUUGUGAUCAAAUCCAAAGACGAAUGCCUUUUGCUUGCUUCUCCCCCCAUUGGUGCACUUUGUGCAAAUCUGGGGAGGAAAGCGUCAACCAUAUUUUCCUCCAUUGUCCGUAUAGCAUUCAACUCUGGUGGAAAUUGCUUAAGGAAGCCGGAGCAAGAUGGGUCACCCCAAAGGGAUGUUUUGAGCUUCUAAGCAUUAAGUUCGAAGGCCUAGGGAAAGGGAGGAAAGCCAAAACUUUGUGGGGAUCUCUGUUGAUGGCCCUCUUCUGGAACAUUUGGUUGGAGCGUAAUAAAAGAGUCUUUGAGGAUUACAAGGGAGUGGGGGUGGAGGACCUUUGGGAUAGAGUAAAACACUGGGCAGCCCUUUGGGCUUCGGUUUCAGUGGAGUUUAGAGAUUACAAUUUCUCUUCUAUUUUUAGGGAUUUGUUAGCAGCCGUUAUUUGAUUUGGUCUAGCUUUUCCUCUGUUCAAUUAGUUUUCUUUAGGGGUCCUUGCUAGUUCUCUUCUAGCUCCAGGUGGAUAUCUUUUCCACGUGGUUUAUUUUUUCUUUUUUGUAAUUCUUUCGUUUUAUAAAAUUCUUUCGUUUCUUUUCAAAAAAAAAAAACACAUACGUAUAGUCCAACAACUAAUUCUUUGAAAAUCUGACAAUAAACCUUGAUGCUCAAGUAAUUUCUUUGAUGCCUGUGCAAUUAAAUUGAAGUGUGUGUGCGUGUGUCUUUGGAGUUUCAUAUUUUUUAGGAAAUUAUUUAUCAAAAAGAAAAGAAAACAUCUACAAAAAUGAACAUGGUAUCAAAACCAACUGUGCAAUCAUAACUUACAUUCACUAAAAAGGAAUAUCCCAAAAUUCUUAAAUAAAGAUGCCCAAUAUAAAGAAUAUAAUUCUGUCUAGAAGAAAACACUUAAGAAAAUUCAUGUUUAAAGGAAUCUGAACAGAAAGAAAAUGGCAUUAGUAAAAUUAUGACAAACUGAAGGGGGGAAGAGACAGACAGAUCAUGUUGAAAGCCAUAUUAGUUGACAAACCUUUUCUGGAAAUAGAGAGGUGUACUUUGAGAGUGCAACAAUCAUUUGUUGUUUUUUGUGUGGCUUUUUAGAAGCAACAGAAUCAGUAGAGGACCCUAGAACGUUAUCAGGUUGAAAAGAAGUUUGUGAUGAACUUUUGCUUUUUGAAAGCAACUCCUCAUUUAGGUUCACAGUAAUCUCUCCACAGGCAAUGUCCACAUUCUUGAUCAUUACACCGACUUCCCUACAUCCAAAUCAAGUGAAUAAAAAGAUAUUAGCUGGUUUACCUUGCCUUAUCAUUGGAAAUUAAAAAUUAAAAAUAAAAAAAAUCUAAUGAUAGAAGAGACACAAAAAGUAAUAUAAGAAUGAAAGUCUCAUACUCAAGAAAUCAUAUGCCACAUUAAAAGCAAUUAACUAUGCUUUUGCAUCUACAGAAAGAAACAUAUUUCUCCAAAGAUAAUACCUAUCAUGACCAAAUUCACAAGAGAGGAUGAAAUCUUCACAAAUAAAAAGAGCAGAUGUCCUUUCCAUCAUGGAGGAUGAUGUCUGGCUUGCAGAAAUGGAUCCUCCAGUGGAAAAAUUGGAUAAGUCACAACUAACCCGUGGGUCACUCCUCAGAACAACAAUAGGUGAUAUCUGUAGCUUAACAAUAAGAUUUUGCUUGGAUGCACCAUCUUUAGAUAUGUCCACUUUCAGUUCCUUCACUUCUAUGGAUGCUUUGGGCAUCUGUAACAUUUCAAAAAUUGUAACGACAAAAUAAAGUCCAUGGCACGAAAGAUACAACUGAAAAAUGAAAUGAAUAGACUACUAGUUAACGAAAAAAAUUAAAAAGUACAGCCUCUUGAACUUGAUUAUUUCCAACCUAAUAUUUGUACACUAUCAGAUUCAUCCCUUUUUCUUGUCGAUGACACAAAAUAUGUCCAACUUAUUGGAAUAAAAUUUUGGAUCGCCUACAUAAAACCUCACAACUAUAGGGUCUAUUUCAAGUUGGUAUCCGAUCUCCAGAGGUUGGAUAAAAUGGUAAACAAACUUAAUAGUACCUACAUAUCCGAUCUCCAAGUGGGUCAGUUAAAUUCUUAUGUAGCAAACGUGUCCCAUGUUCUAUGAUUAAUCGGACUCCAAAUGUGUACCAUGCAUUUAGAAUGACACGUGAAACACAAAACAAUAGAAAACUAGAGAACAUUUUGAAAAGUCAUCAGAAGAUGAAAUUUAAAUCAAAAAAUAACAUAAAAAACCAUAAAUCUAAAAGAAGGACUAAACCUCCUUCUCUUUUCUCUCCUCUAUCUCUCCAACAGCUGCAGGUCGUGAGAGAGAGAACAUAAGGGCAUAGAGUGUCCAAGAGAGGGAGGUUUGUUCUUCCUUUUUAUUUUUGUGCUUUGUUUUCUAUCUUAUUUAUUCCACAUCGCAUUAGUAAAUACACAUGGCACACUCCAGAUAACCAUUAAAAAUGAGACCCACAUUUGCCAUGCAAGCAUUUAACAAGCAUAUUGAGGGAUUAGUUGACUAUAUUUUCUUACUUACCAAAUUGUGAUCCUGUACCAACUUAAAAAACAAUCCUAUAUUUUGAGGGGGUGGGAGGUAUAUAGUUUAAUAUAUUUUUUUAUUUUAAAAAAAAAAUGGUGUUGCAUAUUCUUUCCACUUUUUUCAGAUGAGUUAACCUUGAACCGGUUUUAUUCUUCAAAUGGCAACUACAAAUAUCCUUCAAAAAGUUAUUCAUGAACAAACUUCUACGCAUUAAGAACGAGUAAAGCAAACAGAAGGUAUUCUACAGAUAAAAAGGGAUAAAAAUACUAGUACAAUCCAGCAUACCUUCAAAACCAAAUCUGUGAUGGAAACCGACAAAUAUCUUGCAAUAUUAGCCACAACCAUCCACUUUCCCCUGCCUGAAUUGGCCUUUGUCGUACGAGGUCUUCGAGGUUUAGCCUUUGCUGUACUUCUACUCGAAGGCCUCAUCACAACUUCUAAGUCACAUAUUAACACUUGCAGCUUAGGGUCUUUAGAAAUAAAACCAAACAGUUUGACCAAGGACUGACGUAAGCUGAGUUUAAUUUCACCAACAGAAACAGAUUCAACAGCGCCCUGCAAAUUACCAUAGUCAUAAAUAGAAGAAUGUCAACAUCUAAUGGGCACUAAUCUGCUGACCAAACAAAAAUUUCCUAAAGCAUUGACAAUCAUCCAACAAAAUUCCAAACAGCAUAUGGAGGGCCCAGGGAGGGUUAAGAGUAAUCCCUUCAUUUUCUUUUAGGUAGACUAUGAUCCACUAUAGAUGAGUGUAGUAAUCAAAUUUGUAGACAUAACUAAGGACUAGAUCUACCACUCGGAGCACUCCAGAGAGAUAAAUCACAAAACCCCAAUUAAACACAUCUACAAACAACAUACACACUUGCUUUGUAAACAGCUGCUUAGCUCUAUAUAAAAACCUCAAAACCAUCCAGUAAAGGAAAAAGAUCAUAAAGAACUUCCCAUUGGACCGAGAGCCUCAAUUAGAAACUUCAUUUUGCAGAACAACCACUGAGUUACAUCACAUGAGAAACAUGAACAGAAAUUUUCUGGCAUGACUUAUUAAUGAGACUAGAUUUAUAUGGAAUUACUAAUUAAAAGAUGAAUCCAUUUUUCAUUAGUAAUUAUUGUGAAGUCAGGAUAACAUAGGUCUCAUAAUACUUUUAUUAGCUUUCAACUUAAUAUAAAGAACAAGAAAAACCCCUUUACUCAACCAUGUCAUGAUAAAUAAAUAAGUAAACUGAACCACUGAAGGAAAAAGUGAAAACCUUUUUGAACUCCACCACGAGAUCCCUUAUACACUUCCAUCCGCCAAACCGGAAUCUGAUAGAUGCUCCCACUACGCGGCUCAAAAUCCAAGCCAGCAACCUUGAAGAAAAUCUGCCAAAGAUGCUUAGUGCAAAAACUUGGCAACAAUAACCUAUCUAAAUCACUUCAAGCCCGGAGAAAGAAUGAAAAAGUUUAUCCAAGUAAUAAUGAAAGAGUCCUAUUUUGAACACAUAAAAUAACUCAUCUUAAUAACUGAUGCAAUUAUCAUCGCCCCGGUCAGCCCUUUGUUUCUUUAUUUCAAUUUUCAACUAAGUUCCAGAAUGGUUCCUUUCUGUAUACUGUUCAAAACUUCAAACUAUACACCUACACUCCAUAUACACAGAAACCCCUACCCACUUUCACACACACAUUGUCUUCACUGGUUUCCAGGGCUGCUAAAAUUGUCCCAGCAUUGCAAAUUCGAUAUCUAAAGCACGCCUGUAUGACGAAUUUCAUUUCCAAAACUAGCAAAUUCUUAAAUUUAUCCCAUUUCUAAUUCCACAGGCAUUGCAAUUGGCAUCAAAAACUGAAUUGCACCCAACAAAAUUCAUAAAAAUAAAACCCGAGUUCAAAGCAUUCACAUACCAUACAUACAUACAUACACAUAUACAUAUAACUUAUAUGAAUGGGUUGUGGAGAUGGGGAAAAGAGGGACGUACAUGAAGAGGAGCCAUAACGUGAUGCAAAUGACCAAGAAACAGAAGAGGAAAUUGACGGGCGAAGCCGCCAUUGUCGUCUGCCGGCGACGAGAUUGAUGAUGCGAUGAAUUUCAGUAAAUUGCUGCAGAGAAUCGAAAAGGGGAAAGCAUUCUGCGCUCAUAACUUGAUCAUGUCAUCAAAACCCUAAUGGAAAAUCAAAGGGAACCCAGCGACAGAGAGACUGACAGUUUUCUUUUUCUUCCCUUCCGUCGCGAUCGCUUUGUAAUUUUGUAUGAGAGAGAAACUUCAGAGGCAGAGCAGAUCCGAUCCCUGAGGCACAGAUCGAGAGAGAAAGAGAGAGAGAGAGAGAGAGAGAGAGAGAGCGCGUGGGAAGGCCUGGGAUCAGGUGCGUGGCGAGUGUACGGGCAAGUGUUCUUGAGGAGAAAAUGGCGAACAUGUCCUUUGGAGGUUGGGGCGGGUGAAAUAAGUCAACGCGCGGUUUUGAUGUACCCUCUAAGGAUUGCCAUGAAGAACUUCCCUUUCAAUUAUUAUUACUCUCCGUUUACACGGGGAAAAUAAAGUUGGAACUAUAAAUAUAGAAUUUUUAAAUGAAAAAAGUUUUUCAAUUGCCAGUUUAAUUUCAUGUAAUUAGUUAUUAUUUUCAAAUUUUCAUGAAUGAGAGUUUAAAAUAAAAAAUAAAAUAAAAUUUUAAUCAUAAGUGGCCAUCACAACAACUUCUAUUAGCGUUGCCUCCACCAUCAUCAUCGUCGUCACAUCACCACCAUAGUCACCGAGGCCAUCUUGACCACCACCUACCGUUUGCACCACCACUUCCGCCUCUACUACUAUUGUCACCACCACCUAGCAUCACCACCGCUAGCACCCCACCAUCAUCGUCAUCCUCUGUGUUAAUAACGAUGAUAAGUGGGGUCCCUACCUACACUUCGUUAAGCAUGGCACACUUUUUUACCUUGAAAUCAAGGAUCAAGACGUACUAUAGUGUGAUAUUCCUACUGCAUUUCAAAAGAUAUAUUGGAUAAUCAUAACAAUUCAUCUUAAGGGUAGUGCAAUCGGAGGUGAUCAGAAAGUUGUUGUGGAGAUAUAACUUUGGAAGACAGUAGCGAGGGGAGGGCUUUCGAAUGAACCAAUGCUCAGGCUUGUUCUAGGCAUGCUAGUGGGUGCACGGCUAUAGGGUCUUUGGACGUUUGUGUUUUGAAGGGCUCGCUCAAUUUACUAGCAUGUCAAAGGUGAAUUCAUGCAAUGAUGAUGAAGCUUGUCCCUCGUGAUGGACAUAAGCAAAGCGAGGUGAACUUUCUUCGUUCCCCAUGUUGAAAUGAAGGUAAGGUUUUGAUAAAGAUCGGUACUUAGCCUAGCUAAGUUGAAGAUAGUGUAUUUAUCAAAGUGUUGUUUUUCUGGCAAAUCCAAAUACGUUGGUGCACAAAAUCGGGUGGACUUUAAGUCAACGUAAAGUGGAGUGUGAGAACCUUUGUGAGGAUGCUUCGGUCACUAAGUGAUGGUGAUAUGUGAGAGUCCUAUGAUCCAAAAGAGCUUAAUUGUGAGGGAGAAGUCUCCUUUCAUAUAUGAGGAGAGUCCCACAUUCUUGUAUGUGAUCGAUGUGGGACUCUAAGAAUGUUAUUGUAGUUUUGCCACAUGUCCUUGAGCAAGUGGGCUCCAAGUUAGAGGAAUGGAUAACUCAUUUGAUCAAGGUUGUUCAUGUGCUUCUUUAUAGGUGCCUCUAGUGGCUUAUCAUAGAUAUUUAUCAUGCAAUUUCUAUCAAAUAUUAAUACAUCGUCAAAUAACCCAUAAAUAGUUAAGGAUUAUGAGUCUGACUAUAGCAUAUGUGUCAACCUCUUUCUUGUGUCAACCAAAAAUCUUCAAUACAAUCACAGGUUAGUGGCAUCUAUAGCGUGCAUGCGCACAAGUACCACUUGCAAUUCACAUUCCAGUACAACUUCUUCUCAACUAACAGUCACUUUAUUAUGUAGAUCAUUUGUCGUAAAACCAAUUUUCAGGUAACCCUCAACUUGGUUAACCAUUUACUCGUACAUAUUGCAGGUUUCGACAAAAGUUUAAAUGAACCCGUUAUUGAAAGAAAAAUAGUGUGAAAUUAGAGGAUUUAUUGAAUAACUCAUGCUUAAGAUCAAAUUAAAGGCGGAAGCUAGAUAUGCAUAUAUUAAAAAACUAAAUCAAUUUCUCAAAAUCUUCAAGGCGUAAAGGUUGAAGAACCAUUUUUUUUUUUAUAAAAAAAAAAGUUAUAGAGAUGAGAUGAUUACUCUUGAAGACUCUCUUUGGUUCCUAGAACCAAAGUUAAACAUCUUUGAGGAAAGACUUUCAAUCUUCAUGAAUGUAGUUUUCCUUUGUUUUGACGAGGAUUCUUCAAAACUACCAAAGAAGAUGAUUUUAACUCUCCACCCGAAACAUGAACAAAAAAGAAGAUGAAAUAACCAUAAAGCUCCUCCUUGUGGUGGCCAAUUUGUUUUGGUGAAGGGAGAGGUAAAGGAAUGCUAGCUCUACAUCAUUCUCUUUCAUGCACUCAAAAUCAGAGGCGGAGCUACUAAGGGACUAGAAUAGUCCUGGGCCCAUCGUGCCUUUUUUCUUGCUAUAAUAACAUAUUGUUGUUGCUGCUGCGUAUCAGUGGAAUACCAUUAAAUUCAAAUGUGCCAUUCUUAAUCUAAACUCUUUUUUCCUUUUACAUGCCUCGUUUUUCACUUCAUCUCUCUUAUUUCAAUGCAAACUCCCCUUCCCCUCCUUUAGCUAUCAACUUUUCUUUGUCAUCUCUUUUGUCCUUUUGUUAUAUUUUCAAAUCUUUCAUGCUUAACUCUUACCUCGUAUUCAAGUGUUUGAGUUUGAGUUUGUACCAUGUUUUUUGUUCUCUAUACUGAAUUUGAUUGGUUUUCCCAAUGUGCAAUUUACUACAACUUUUCAUGUUGUGAGGCCCCUCCUCACAUGAAAUUCUGACUCCGCCAUUGCUCAAAAUCCUAAAAUCUUUUGAACAACGAUUAAAAGGACAAGUGGUGGGUUGUGAGUGUGAAUAGACUUCUUCUUUAGCCAGUUGCAUUUGGUGUGUAAACUUUUUUUUAAUAAAUAUAUGAGGUAUCCAUCACAAAUCACACAUUGAUAACAACCUAAUUUUUUUUCAUACAAUUUGGUAUAACAAAAGACGAUAGCGUACUUUUGACUUAUGAGUUCAAUAGUAUGUCAGAGCAGGAACCGCAACUCUAAAAACCAUCUCUUAUGUUAGUAUAGAGUGAAAUAGUAUUAUUGUUUGUAAUAAAUAAAACGAUUAUCUUGGUUUUAUAAAAAUAAAUAAAUAAAACACCUCAAUCAUUUCGAUCAUAAAUAAAUAAAACCUCUAAAAAAUAGAAAAAGAAAACGAAACCUAAAACCUCAAUAAAAUAAAACGAAACCUAAAACCUCAAUUGGAAAGUAAGGGUGCGUUUGGUACGUGGGACGGGACGGAACAGAGUGGGACGGACGUGUUCCGUUCCACGUUUGGUGCGCUUAAAUUGUGUGGAACGCCUGUCCCACGGAACGAAAAAGGGUGAAAUUUUGGUUCCACGUAUCUCCCCUGGAACGGGUUGUUCCAUCCCGUGGAACACAAAAAUCAUAAAAUUUUAAGACAAAAAUACCCCUUAACUUUUUUAAUAUUUACAUCAUCUAUAUCACACAACAAACCCUAUAAGGCAUCGGAUAGUACUAAUAAUACGGUGUACGGUGUUUGGUGGUCGUUUGGAUUAAAUAGGCACCGGAUUAAAUAAUCCGGGCCCACCUUUUUUACACGGCGUUCACCCGCUUGCUUAUACCGUCCAUAUUCACGGUAUAACUUAGUCGGCCUCGUCUCGAUUCCUUUCCGCUCUCGCUGUCGCUGUCGCUCUCGCUCUCGCUUCCUCUCCGCUCGCUCUCGCUCUCGCUUCCUCUCCGCUCGCUCUCGCUCUCGCUUCCUCUCCAGGCGCUCUCGCUUCCUCUCCAGACGCACUCUUCCACUCCAGGCGCUCUCUCUUCCUCUCCAGACGCACUCUUGCUCUCAUCCCAGGUUUGUCUUCUCAAAUUCUUCUUCUUCGUUUGAAUCACAGUUCGUCUUUUCAGUUUUCUUCUUAUGGGAUUCCACCCCUCCCUCUAUUCUUCCCCCUCCUAUUUUUCUUGCAAUUUUCUUUCAAUUGAUUGAAGCUAGUUAUUAUUCUCUCUAAUUAUGCAAUUGAUUAUGUAAUUUUGUGUUUUAAUUAAAAAUUUUUAAUUUUAGGGUUUGCUAUUGGGGUCGAAUUUAGGGUUUGUUGUUGGUUGUCUCUGGCGCAGUUCCCGUUUCACUUGUUGUCUCGCAGCUGCAACGCAACCAUACGGACGGUAAGCCAAUUUCUCUUCGCUAUUAUUUUCUCUCUAAUUUUGCACCUACUGGGAUCAAAUUUUGGUGGGUUUUGUGAAUUGGGCAUCGAUUUCUGAUGCUUUUAGAGAAAUGGGUUGUCAGUGAUGUUUUGAUAUUUCAAUAGUUGGACUUGUGUGGCUGCAUGCGUUUUUUUAUUUUUGCUGGGUUUAGCUAACUGGGUUGUGCGGUUAAUCUGUUUUUUCUCCAACUUUCUUACGAUUUAAGUGCUUUUAGGUGAAGUACUUCCUGUGCCUAUUUGUUCUGUCUUAGUAGCUCAGAGGUAUGAAAUUUGAUAGUAUUUCGUGUUAAUUUUUAAUUGAACUUGAAGAAUGAGGAAUGCAUAUCUUGCUUGUGAUUGGGUAGAGUGGGAGUGGGAGUGUGCUUCCUGUGCCUAUUUGAUUGCGUGUUGAAGUAUUGCUUUGUUAUGAUUUCCUUUUGGUCUGGCAUUCUGUUGGAUGGGUGUUGAAGUACUGCUUUGUUUUGGUUUCGUUAGCAGUUGUGGUUUACUGAAUAGAAUUGUUGAUUGGAUGUUGAAGUAUUGCUCUGUUGAUUGGGUGUUGAAUAGAAUUGUUCUGGUUUCGUCUAGUGAAGAUGUUAUCUUGACUCGUUUGACUGUGUUUCUUUGCUUGUUCUUAUCCUUCCUGCUACUGUUUUUUCUUGCUGUUGGUGCAAUUUUUAAUCAGCUGGUGUGGUUUUCUUCUGUCCGCUGAGUUUCCUAGUUAUCAUUUCACCAAAGUUUUCAAUGAAGAGAGCUGCUAAUGACAAUGAUCUUGCUGUGACAUUUAAAGAAAUGCUUUCUGAAUCAGUUGAUAAGUUGGGUGAAGUUUUACAAGCUGCUUUUGGGAAGGAGUGGAUCCAAAACUUGAGAUUGCUUUAGAAUUGUCAAAGAUUGUAGUUGUUUUUUGUGUAUCUUUUAUGUUCCUGGAAAAUAUUUUGAAUUUGAUGUAUGGAAUUUACUUUUUUAUUUUAUUUUUUUGUUAUUUGAAGAUUUGUGUGGUUUUCAAUAGGUAUAAAUAUGAGAAAAGUUCAACAAACAAACAAAGAUUUGUCAAUUUUUUUUUUCCCUUGUCCUAUCCGGUUCAAUACCAAACACAGUAUAAAUAAUACGGUCAUUAGUCCGAUACUGCACCAAACGCCCGACUAAUUUAGUCAGUACUAUCCGGUGGCUAUUUAUCCUAUCCGACAGAAAUAGUCAGUACAGUCCGAGCUGCCAAACGAGGCCUAAAACUACCAUUUCUCUUCUCUCUGCCGUUUUGUGAACUUGUUCAUCCCAUCUCCCCUUCGCAACCUUCCUCCUCAUCCUCUUCCGUGUAGCCUCUCCGUGAACUUUCAGCUUUGCAUCUCCCUUCCAGGUUCGAUCUAAUUGUGAUUGUGUAGCUUCUCAGUCUCUCUUUCUUUGUAUUUUGUAGUACUUUCUCUCUUGGUUUGGUGUUUGCUGUACAUUUGAAACUAAAUCCCAUAUAUUCUUACAAAUCCUCCAAUCUUAUCUUUAAUUAAUUUUGAUGUAAAUUUGAAAUGACAUUAUUAUUCUUUUCUGAUUUGCUUGUUUCGAUUUCAUUAACCAGUUCCUAAUUCUGCUGAAUUUCUUUGUAUUCUUUUCUGAUUUGCUUGUUUUGAUUUCUUUGUAUUUUGUAGUGCUUCGAUCUGCCCAAUACUGCAUCUGCAACCAAAGAUCCGCCUCUGUUUAUCUCCUUCCACUCCCCCUAUUGAGCAGUACUGCAUUUAGAGGUAUCUCUCUAUCUGGAUUCAUUUUUUCAGUGUUCAAGUUUCGAUUUUUAUGUGCUGAAAUCUAUAAAUCUGAUGUCUUUGGGUUCUGUUGGAUUGGAUUGGGUUACAUGUUUUGGAUUUUCCUCUGUUGGAUUGGGCUCUCUGUGUUGGAUUUUCCUGUCAAUCCCAAUCUUAAUGGUGUUUCUGUUAAUUGGUGUUGUGUCUCACAGUUUUCAUCUUCAUCGACUAUUGGGUUGGAUUGUAGAGCUUCGCUGGUUCUCUAAAAUUUGUGUGUAGCAAUCGAAACUAAUGCCCAAUAUCUAACUUCAAACAUUUAGUUUUGUGCCAUUGAAACUGCAGUCAUAUGUAAUAAGUCGAUGAAUGUAGUUUUGUGCUAUUGAAACUGAUACUCUGUUCACCUGACUUGCUAUCGGUGUAGCGGUAUUACUGUAAAGAAACAAGUUCAAACUAGUGCUCUGUUAUAGCAGUUGUUUCAAACUUCAAACUUUCGCGUUAAGUUUAACUUCACAACAUCAAGAAUUUGAUUAAAAGUUGUAAAUUCAUGUCCUCAUAUUGAAUUAUCUAGUGAUUUUUGUGUUCCUGUGGCAGGCAACGACUCAAGCUUCUCUCUUCCUCCUCUUCUUCUGAUUCAUCUUCUUUCUCUCCCAUCGAGCUUUACGUUUUGACGAUCUUUAGGGUUUUGAAAUCUGAAGCUUCAAAACCAUGGAAAACGCUUCAAAUUCAAACCCAAUCUCUGAAAAUAGAGUAAAGCAGUGAGUUCAAUUUCUCAAUCUGCAAUUAUGCUGAUUGGGUUUCGAUAUUCGAAUUCGGUAUGAUAUUUACAUUCUGUUGCUUUUUGUUUUUUCAGAGAAGCUCCCCAGCUUGCUGCUUUGUUGAGAGAAAUGAAGGAAGGAUUAGAUACAGUGAGGGCAAAAGUCCAAGCUUUAACUGCAAAGGUAAACGAGUUCCCUCUUCUGGGGUCGUUUUAGUUUCGCUAUCAGUUUAUUUCGGUCAAGAAAUCUUGUUUCGAAAUUGUUCUGCCAGUUUGUAGGCUGUAGGAAAACUGUUUCUGGAUUGAUAGUGUGCUUCCUUGAGGUUGAAUAUUAAUUUGAGGGAUAAAAACCGAUUUGACUAGAAAGCUAUGUUUUUUUUUCGAAAUUUUCCAUUUUUUAAAAGGCACUUGUUUCAUUUGUUUUCUUCUCCAUGUCAAAUGUAUCAGGUGAAAGCAAAUAAUUAUCCGACAGCAGAUGGGAUAAGCUAUCUUGAAGCCAAGCAUUUGCUGCUUCUAAACUAUUGCCAGUCACUUGUCUAUUACUUACUUCGUAAGGCUAAAGGGUUUUCAAUAAAUGGGCAUCCCGUUGUUCGUAGCCUUGUGGAGAUAAGGUUGUUUCUGGAAAAGGUAUGGGCCUCUGGUGAUCUUUUUUUCCUUUUCUUUGUCGUUCUAGUAACCGUGUAGUCAGUUAUCAAUCAAUUCUCACCCUUUUUGUGUGCAACAGAUUCGACCCAUUGACAAGAAGCUCCAGUACCAAGUUGAGAAGCUCACCAAGGUUACCACAAGCAAAACCGAAGAUGUAGGGCCAAGUGGGAAGGAACCACAACCCAAUGUGCCUCAGCAAACAGAUGAUUUGCUGAGAUACCGCCCUAACCCUGACAUGCUUGUUAGCAAAACAGAUGUGAAUUCUAAGGUGAAAUGUGCAUCAGUACAAUGUUUGAAUUCCUCUUUUGUCAUCUGCCAAACAAUACUCAAGGUUUCUUCUUCUAUUUUGUAUAUUGUAGGCUGGUAAGGAUGUGUAUCGACCUCCCAAAUUUGCCCCGACUUCGAUGGAUGAAGAUAAGUUGUCAAAGCAUGAAAAAAAUGCAUUGAGAAGGGAUAAGAAUACUUUACGACAAGCUAAGCAGAGUGCUUAUGUGAGGGAACUGGUGGAUGAUUUGGAGGGGAGGCCUGAAGAGGUUUGUUGUGGCCUGUUUUUGUGGAGUUACCAGGCAUGACUGCUGGAUAUACCGUUCUUGUAACUGCUGUUUUUUAUGUCAAUUACAGAUUGUAGAAAGUGUCGGAGCUGAAAGCAUAGAACUAGCGAGAUACAGGGCAAAGAGGGAUGAACGUGAACGGCAAGAAGAGGAACUUUUUACGCGUGCUCCUAUUACAAAGAAGGAGAAACAGAGAGAAAAACACUUAAAGAAAUCAAGAAAUGGGUAAUUGACAUUUGAGAAAUUAUUUAUGAUUUUCCUUUUCAAUUAUUCCAAAUUUAUUUUUCUGUAAGAUCUGUUGAUGGAUGGCUGUUCUGAAUUGUUUCUAUCAGGUUGCUUGGUUUGACGGAGAAUUUCUAUGAUGAAAUUAAGGGUUUACCCUUGGACAAUGAGAAUGAUGAGCAGGUUGCAAGCUCCCGCAGUGCUAGGGGUGGAAUGGGGAGGCAUAAGAAGCGCAAGGUAUAUCAUAAUCUCUUAAAAAGGAAUCAAGUUUAGUUUAUGAAAUAUGUGUCCGUCUUUUGUUCUGAACCAACUGCAUUUGUGAACCUCUGUUUCCCUAGGACAUUUUCUAACGUGCAAAUUCAACGUUAACUGUUUUAUAUUUCCAUGAAGUUGUUCGUUUGUACUAAAUAUGUGGGUAUAAAUUUAGGACGCGAAUGGCCGUGUUAUAGAAGCCUAUUGGAAAAACGGGACAGCAUGUCCUGUUCUCACAGGAAUAUGCGUGUAUAGACUUCUGUAGGCAGACCAUUUAGUGAUAUAUGCGUCUUUAUAUUGAAUGCUCGAGCCUUUGUAUAAUGUGGAAAAGUACUGUUUUGGUAUCUGAACUAAGACUCUGCCGAUUACUGAUUGUACCAUCUUCAUUAGAAUAUUUGAUGGUGGGCUAUAACUUGCCAUGCUUAUGCAUUUCUUACCUAGUCGCAACUCAUCUAGGAAUGCCUGCAUUUCUUUUUCUCGUUUAUGUUUACUUAUGGUCAGAGUAUUGAAGUUGCACAAAACGACACCUAUAAAUUUACUGCAGAACACUUCCUAUUGUUCUCCCUUCUAUCAAUCCAUAUCAUGCAUGUGAAUUUUGCUUGGCAUUUCAUGUAAUAUCUUGAUAGAGCAGCCCAGCUGGUGAAUGUUACGUACAGUAAAUCUGUCUAGAAUCAAGACCUUCACUGAAAUUAGUUACAAGAUUGUUAGGGUUUUGUCGCAGCCGAGUGAUCUCUAAUGUGUAUAAUUACCGGGUGUACCAAUUCCUGAGUGAUUAAUUGGGUGAAUGUUUAUCUUAAUUCUCAAAUCCUUUUAGCAAGCUGCUGGAUUAUUUCUGUUUUUGCCCGAACCAGUACCAUCGAACCUUCUAAAUUAUCCAGCUGGCUACUCGGGUUUUCUUGUGUGCAUGAGUUUCUAGUAUUCAAAUUUUUUCUUCUUCCAUAUUUGCUUUUAUUUAUUCAUGGCUUCAGUUGGUUUUAUGCUUUAUUUGAUUUUAUGAUAUUAUCGCAAAGACAUUGACACUUUCGACUGAUUGUGCAGAUGAGGCGUUGAAGGAAUAGCGUAUGCCAAGCUUGACAACGCCCAACAAUUUAUUUGCCGGGCAAAGCUCCGAUUGCUCCAGUAGCAUGAAAUAGCUUCCUACAAAUCUCAAGUGUUUUUCUUUUGGCGGCAGACCAAUUAGGGAACAAAAUUUUGUUUGGACCGAUUAGAGUUGUUUGUUUUAAUCUUUUUGUUCUUGCAUCUAACCCUACACCAAAGAAAAUUUACUUGCUUUAUCUCGUGUCGAUCUUACAUGCAAUUACCAGUACGUAAAUUACGAUUGAAGCUCCAUAAUACGACCGCAUCUGUACAAGUUUUUCUUUCGAUUCUUGUUCAACAUGACCCGUUUGAACGAGGGCGGAGCAAAAUGAGUUAUAUUCCAGUUCUUAAAGAGAGCGUUAGGGAAAAGGUCAUGCUCUUUACUGGGAUUGAGUAGGAUACAAUGCUGGACUGGACGUGACUAGAGAUACAUUUUUUUUUUAGUAUAACGAUAUAUUUUACAUAUUAGACGAGGGGAAGAGUUAGGAUAAGCCACACAAUAAGCAAUCUAGUGUGGUAUCGAAUUCGUCAUCUACAAAAUUCAGACCUUAAGUCUCUCACUUAUGAGUGAAAGAAUACUACUAGACCCUAAUAUUGAGUGGCGACUCGAGAUACAAAUUGAAUAUCAUGGAUAUAUAACAUCUUUCAACACUUGAGUUGGUAUUGUAAACUAAUUUCAAGGCACAUCCUUGGCAGGCAGGGGUAAUGUCAAGUUGUCAAUUUAUGCGCUUGAUGUGGUCAUAUUAUCAGGUAAUAUGACCCUCCCUCUUCCUUGGGAGUCCUCCUCUCCUUUUUAUUUAUUUAUUUAUUUUUUAUUUAUUUAUAUAAACUCCUAUUUAACUAUCUAAAUCAAACUUGAAACGUCUGUAACUUCUUUGUCAUCGCCUGGAUUUGCAAACGAUUUCGCAUACGCACUCGUGUGAUCGCUUUCUAUUCGAAAACACUAGGGGUGAUCCCCUUCAUCUACGGAUUUUAUAUGAUUAUUUUCAAAAAAUCACUUUGUAAUUAAGUAAUUAAAAUCUAAAAUAAAUUAAUUAGAUUAAAUUCACAUAAUAAUAUAAAAGCCCGUAAAUAUGAAAUAUGUAAAUUACAAUAGUGAAAUCCAGGAAUAAGUUUUCACAUUGAGGGUGUUUGAUGAGCCGAUAUUAUACUAUAUAUUUUACCGUAUGUUUUGGUAUUUAUUUUGGUUGAAUUUUUAUAAAUUGAUUUAUAUUUCUAAUAUAGGACAUUCAACUUCCUCUUGAGAAAAAAGUAUUCAAAUGGAUGAAUUUUGGAGUGAUUUCAAUAGAAGGAUGUUUCUAAGUCUCUUAGCUUGUUCGUGUCAAAGUUACAAAUUUUUCUACCCAGGAAUUUAUUUAUAGUGAUGAAAUCAAAAGAAGCAUCGUGCAAUGCUGUUAAAGUGAUAUUUUGGGCUUAUUUGGGCUUUGUGGUGUCUAAGAUUGUGUCUUUUGCUAUUGGUUUCAUCUUGGAACUUGGUGAGGACGUCCUAAGCUUUAAUUCAAUUAGUUUUGGGCUUGAUAUGUAGCCUUGAGAUCCAGAAACAUGGCUAAUUUUUGGCUGGGCAAAUUUCCAUAUUUGAUUAGAAUUAUGUUUGUUAGUUUCUCUUAUUCCAUUUUGUUUCCUAGGUUUUGAAAGAUCUGUUCUAGGCAGGAUUUUAUUUUGUAGGAGUAUAGAUAAGGUUGUUUAGCCAUUAGGGUUCUGAACGCAUCAAUUUGGAGAACUAGGCUAGGCUUUGACGAUUUGUAUUCUCAAGAUGUUUUCUAUCCUUUUUCUAGUUCAAUAAAAUUCCUUUUGUUUUAUGAUUUUUUGUAACUAAUUUUCUUUUGUAACGAAGUCAUGAGCCUUAUCAUGAAUAUGUUGUCUUUUAUUUAAUUAUCUAUGAUAUUAUGCAUGCAUACUUUGAAUUAUUAAUCACCAUAUUUAAACUGUCUCUAUAUCUUAAUGAUCAACUACCAUUAAGAUGUUUCGAUAAGUAAUCGUAUGCAAUUCGAUCGGAAUAUCAUCUUAGGAUUGAGUAUUGCUUCUUGUGAUUGAUAAUUGUAAUUUCACAUAUUCGUAAGGGUUGCAUGUUUUUUCAAAGCGUUUUUACCUAACUUAAUGAGUUUUGCAUGUUCACAUUUGAUCUAAAUACCACAUACGUAUUGCAUGUUAGAUAUACGUUCUUACUUGAAUAUGAUAUAUCACGAGGAGAAUAUGUAUAAGAAAAACCUAACAUUCAAAAUUGCAUGUUUAAUUCAUAAGUAAUUGGUAAAAUUACAUAGGAUUAUUAAAGUGACUACGGAACCCUAAUACUUUUACAACUUAAUUUUUAAAAAUUGUUUACUUUUACUUUCCUUACUUUGACGCUUUCUCUACUUGUUUUAAUUUAAAUUUGUUUUUAAUAUUUUAAAUUCCAAAAUCAACGUUUUCUAAACUUUGUUUUCAAAUAAUUAAUUAAAGAUUAUUUUAAAUACAAAUUAUUCAUUCAAUUCCUGUGAAGGACGACAUUGCUUAAGCUGCUAUAUUAUGCUAAGCUUCGUAUAUUUAUGUAAAUUGCUACCGCCGGCUUUAAUAUGGUGUCGUGUUGUUUCAGGUACAACACUAAGCACAUGAACGGGUUUUUAGGUGGACACUGCUCUAUUUCUUAAGAUUUUAAUUAUGACAAACAAUUUUAUUUUAAUUUCAUAUUUGGUUUGCAAUUUUAACAAAAAUUAUGCAUAGUUCAACAAAAUUAAAUUUAAAAUUACAAACCAAAUAUGAAAUUAAAAUAAAACCGUUUGUCAUAAUUAAAAUCUUAAGAAAUAGAACAACGGGUAUCCACCUCAAAACACGUUCUUCUGCUUAGUGUUGUACCUAACACAACACUACACCAUAUUAGAGCCAGCAGAAGCAAUUUCCAAGAACAAAAUAUACAAAUCAAAAUAUGUUAAAAAUAAUAGGGACACUUGGUUUAGGUCCUUCAACACUAAAAUCAUGCCUCUCCUAAUUGUAGUCACACCGAAUGUUCUGGUCCUAAAUGCCUAAAAUUAGAGCAUAUUUUGGUGAAGCCUAAAAUGGCUUUUUUUUUAUUUUUUAUUUUUUUUAAAUUAUAAAAUUUUUAAAGAAUACAAUUUAAUUAUAAAAAAAAAAAGAAAACUGUAAAAAUACAAACGCAAACGCGUUUGAAACAAUUUGAAUUGCUUAGUACCCGAGCUGCCAAGGGUGAUGUUUGACAUAUUAACCCACAUGUCAAUUUCAACUACCACAUAAAAAAAGGAUGAUGAUUCAUUUCUGCAAUUUGGUGCGUGCACACUUUUUUAUGUGGUCGUUGGGAUUGGCAUGUGGGUUAAUAUAUCAAACAUCACCCUUGGUAGCUCGUGUAAUAAGCGGUUCAAAUUGUUUCAAGCGCGUUCGUAUUUGUAUUUUUAUAAUUUUUUUUAAUUAAAUUGUCUUCUUUAAAAAAAAUUGAGAAAAGAGCCAUUUUAGGCUUCACCAAAAGUGGGCUCUACAUUUAGGUGAGGCAUGGUUCCUUCCUUCGUUGUGGAUUCUUCUCCCUUUAUUAUUUAUAAUAACUCUUUGGCUACCAACUCAAAGAGUAAAUCGGUGGUGGUGUUGUAAACCCUACUGCCAGUCUUCCAAAAGCAAAAGUAAAAUGUAUAAGUCACGGCUAAACAAAAUUUGACAAAGCUGCAAAUGGCAGUUGCCUGUAAGACCACUACGGUCGGUCCCAAUCACAUGCUCCAGUUCUUCUUCACUGUAACUGUCAAUGGGAGCAACUUCCAGAUGGUCGAAAUAUUUAGGUCGUCAAAAGAAGCUCAGCAUGAGGUUGCCAAGGUCACUAUCGAACACCUCUCAUGUUGAGCUUGGCAACCUCAUGCUAAGCUUCUUUUGACGACCUAAACAUUUUGACCGUCAGGAAGUUACGCCCAUUGAUAGUUACAGUGGAGAAGAACUAGGGCAUGUGGUCAGGAUCGACCUUAGUGUUCUUACAGUUAGGCAACUGCCAUUUACAGUGUUGGCAAAUUUCAUUUAGCUGUGACUUAUACAUUUUACUUUUUCUUUUGGGACAUUGACAGGUGUUUUUGUUCAGUUUUGGGAUUUUCGGUUUGAGAUUUUUCAGUUCAAUUUUGGGAUUUCUUUUGUUCGGUUUGGAAUUUUCGUUUUUUUUUCCAUUCCUACCUAAAUGUAGAGCACACUUUUGGUGAAGCCUAAAAUGCCUAUUUUAUCUUUUGUUUUUUAAUUUAAAAAAUUUAAAGAACACAAUUUAAUUAAAAAAAAAGAAAAAAGAAAAAUGUAAAAAUACAAACGGAAACGCACUUGAAACAAUUUGAACUGCUUAUUUCCCAAGCUGCAAUUUUCAAGCCCAAGUUAUCACAUAAAAUAUGUAGCUAUAAUCAUUUUUGUCCACUUCAUCAUAAUUUAUCAAAAUAAGUUAUGUUGGAAUGAUCAUUGCUACAAUUGGAGUCCCUUACCUUAUCAAAACGUGCAGUUAUGAUCAUUUUUAUCAACUUCGUUAGAAUUUUGUCAAAAUAAGUUAGGUUGGAAUGAUCAUUGCUACAAUUAGAUUAAAAGUUGAGGGACCAUUGCUCCAAUUAAGUUAAAGUUGAAAAAAACAUUUCUCCAGUUGGAUUAGAGUUGAGAGACCAAUGAUAAUAAUUUUUUAGUUGAAAGACCAUAGUUCCACGUUUUGAUGAAUUGAGAGAUCAAUGGUAAUGAAUUAGAACUUUGGAGGGUUCCAAGUAGGCAACAAAAUUUUGUUUGUUUUAAAUCUUCUGUUCUUCUGUCUAACCCAAGACCAAAGGACACCUUACGAUGAUAUUUACUUGAUUUAUCUUGCGUCAAUCUUAUAUGCAAUUCCCAGUACGUAAAUUACGAUUGAAACUCCAUAACCUGACCGCAUCUGUACAAGUUUUUCGUUCGAAUUCUGGUUCAACAUGACCUGUUUGAACGAGGACGGAACAAAAUGAGUUGUAUUCCAGUUCUUAACGUGACCCGAAAUAUAUAUAUAUAUAUAUAUAUAUAUAUAUAUAUAUAUAUAUAUAUAUAUUUUUUUUUUUUUUUUUUAGUACAAAUAUUAUUUUACACUAAGGGGAGGGGGAAGAGUUCGGUUAAGCCACACAAUGAAAAACCUAAUGUAGUAUCACAUUCGCCAUCUACAAGAUUCGAACCUAAAAUAAAAACUCACUUACGAGUGAAGAGAAUACCAUCAAACCUUAAUAUUGAGUGGCGACUCGAUAUACAAUUUGAAUAUCUAGAAUAUAUAACAUCUUUCAACACCGGAGUUGGUAAUGUCAACUAAUUUCAAAGCACAUCCUUGGCACCCAACACAAGAACCGCACUACCGAAGAGGAAAAAGGGGCUCAAAGUUGAACCUCCUUCCAUAUACGGCAAGGGAAGGGAAAGAACAUAAAUUGAUAUUGGCACUGCAACAUAAACGAAAGCUUAUGUUAUAAAAACUUCAUUCAAAAACAUAGGUUAGUUGCACAUUCUUGCAUACAUCAAUGACCACGAAGCGCAUAAGUGCUUAUGCGCACGGGCACAUAUUGCGUGGCAGUGAAUAUCUUUUUAGUCCUCUAUGCUAAAGCAUCCAAUUGAAAAGCCAAAACUGUUAAAGUGCAGAACCAAAUCAGAGAUAUAUAUCGCUCUACUAACUACUUAACCAACGAAUGUGGGAUAGUACUAUAAAAAUUUCAUGUGGGACCCUUCUUUUAGGUGGCCAUCCACGUGGACAAGUUACGAGUGGUUCUCAUGUCAUGUGCGGUCCCUUUAAAGGUUUAAGGUUAAACUGUUGUGUAACCGGUGGUCAUCCAACCCAAAAUCUUAACCUUUAGGGGUGGAAAGGUCAACUAAGUAUAUGUAGACUAAACAGAUAUAGCAGGUACUUGGCAUAACCACAACAGGGCUAGCGCUUAACAAUGCGUACGUACAUACAAGUGUAAAAGAGAACGAACCUGACAACAUCACGAUGAGAGAAGCAACAACCGCAGAGGAAAUCUUUACUACAUUCAGCAAUGAAAUGUUGAAAAACAGAUUGGUAGCUAUAUACAGCAAUGGUAGUAACGGAGCCCCAUUGCAACCUGACACAAGUGACAAAUGUGCUGGUAAGAAUUUGAACCCGAGAAAACCUUAAGAAGCUUUUAACAUCUUGAAUAGAAUUAUCACAUCAGAAUAACCACUUCAACCAAUUGAAAUUGAAUUACAUGACAGAAAAAAUUUGUUCUUUUUUACUGCCAGCAUUCAAACUGAGAUUUUAUGUGAAGUGCAUGAUUUCCCUGUAGAAACAGAAAACUUCAACAGUAAGUUUUCUUGAUUGUAUUUACUUGACUGAGAACUUUACACAUUGUGUAGGAAUAUAUAUAGCCUUUGGCUAUUUACAUAGAUACCCCUAACUACUUUAUAACUAUCUUAACUAAUCACAACUAAUACAAUCAGUUAAUUUACAGUAACAGAAUUAUUAACAGUAGCAGACUUGGAUGACUUGUCAUUCUCCCUAAUACACCCCCUCAAGCGAGAAGGGGGAUCAGAAAUGAGGCCAAUGGGAAGCUUGGAACACAGAUAAUAAAUCUGGUUUUAGACAGAGACUUGGUGUGAAGAUCAGCUAAUUGGUCUUCACUGCAGAUGAACUUGACUUUGAGAAGUUGAGCCAAAACCAAUUCUCUAAUAUAGUGAUAAUCGAUCUCAACAUGCUUUGUUCGAGCAUGAAAGACAGGAUUAGAUGCUAAAGAUAUUGCUGAUAUGUUGUCACACCAAAGAGUAGGGAAUGUAGAGAGAGGAUAGUGCAGAUCUUUGAGAAUCUUGCAAACCCAAGUUAUCUCAGCAGCUGUGUGAGCUAAGGAGCGAUAUUCAGCCUCUGUAGAGGACCUUGCAACAGUACUUUGCUUCUUGGCACUCCAGCUGAUAAGAUUGGAACCCAAAAAUACACAAUAACCAGUGGUUGAUCUCCUGUCAAUUGUGCAACCAGCCCAGUCGGCAUCCGAGUAGGCAGAAAGAUGGACAGGGCCUUUAGUGAACCACACACCAUGUGAGAUAGAGCCUUUGAGAAAUCUGAGAACCCUUUUUGCUGCCUGGAGAUGUUGUUCCCUAGGAGCAUGCAUGAAUUGGCAGAUUUGGUUCACAGCAAAAGCAAGGUCGGGCCUAGUCCAAAUAAGAUAUUGUAAACCACCAACAAUGGAGCGAUAUUCAGUAGGAUUGGACAGAAGAGGGCCACUGUGAUCUAAUUUCUUAGAGCCAAGGGGAGUGCAACACAAGGUUUUGCACCCUCCAUAUUUGUUUUCUUGAGAAAGAUCCAAUAAGUACUUUGUUUGAUGGAGAAAUAUACCCUGGGAAGAUCGAUGUACUUCUAAUCCCAAGAAAUAAUGAAGAGGACCAAGGUCUUUUACUGGAAAUUGAGCCCCAAGUUGCUGAAUGAAGUGUUGACAGAGGUGAGGAUAGGGUCCGGUGACAAGAAUGUCAUCAACAUAGACAAGGACAAUGACUAACUGAGGACCAUUGAGAACAAAUAAAGAAGCAUCUGAGGAUGAUUGGGUGAAUCCAAGAGAGUGAAGAGCUUGGAACAGUUUAUCAAACCAAGCUCGAGGAGCUUGUUUGAGACCAUACAACGAUUUCCUCAACUUACAAACAGAUGUAGGGUGUAAGGGAUCAACAAAACCAGGGGGUUGUUGCAUGUAGACAUCCUCCUUUAAGUCUCCAUGAAGAAAGGCAUUACUAAUGUCCAAUUGAUUGAGAAACCAAUUAUAUUGCACAGCAAGGGUAAGAAGGAUCCGAAUUGUAACCGGUUUGGCAACUGGACUGAAGGUUUCUGGAAAGUCAAUACCUUCUUGUUGAUGAAAACCCUUGGCCACAAGCCGGGCUUUAUAUCUGUCAACAGUGCCAUCGGGCUUCUUCUUAAUCCGGAAAACCCACUUGCAGCCCACUAAGUUUUGAGAAUGGUGAGAAGGAACAAGAGACCAAGUACCAGUGGUUAGCAAGGCAUUAAAUUCAUCUUGCAUAGCUUGCCUCCAAUGAGCAUGCUUAGAAGCUUGCAAGUAUGUUGUAGGAACAUAAUCCAUAUCAACUGGAAGUGGGUGCUUAGUUGCUGCACAGGCUCUCGACGUGAGUAUACCAGCCUUGGAUCUAGUAAUCAUUGGAUGAGAAUUAACAGGGGCAGGAGGAUGACUCUGUUGAUUUUGGGAGAAAGAUGAAUGUGCUGAAGGAGGAACAAAACUGGAAGAAGAGCCAACUGAGACAGGUGCAGGGAAGAUGAAGAUGAAGAAAUAGGAACAGGCACAGAAGCACAUAAUUGGUGAUGUAGAUGGCUGACUGAAAACAGGAGGAAUGUGUUUGCUAAAAUGAAGAUCCAGAGAGGAUGAAAUUGUUGGUGAGGAAGAUGGAGGACUUGGAACAGGAAAAAGAGUGUUGAUGUUGGGACAACUGAAAUGGAUAAGUACUUUCAUCGAAUACAACAUGACGAGAGAUGUAGAUGCGAUUGGUGAUAGGAUCAAGGCACCUAUAGCCUUUGUGUUGAAGACUAUACCCCAAGAAAACACACUUUUUGCUCUUGGGAUCCAAUUUGCUAUGAAAGUAAGGUUUGAGCCAAGGAAAGCAUUGGCAACCAAAUACUUUGAGCUUAGAGUAGUCUGGAUGGUUGUGAAAUAGCAACUGCCAAGGGACUGUGAAAUGCCAGAAAUAGGAAAGGCGAUUAAUAAGAUAGAUAGCAGUGGAGAAAUGCUUCUACCCAGAAAAAUAUGAGGGACAUGAGAUGCAAGAAGCAAAGUGCGAGCUGUUUCAACAAGGUGCCUGUGCUUUCUUUCUGCACAACCAUUUUGCUCAGGGGUGUGGGGACAACUGAACUGAUGAAGAAUGCCAUGUUUGCUGAGAUAUGAUGCAAAAGAGUGACUAGUAAAUUCACCCCCUGAAUCAGAACGCAGAACCUUUAUUUUAUUUCCAAGUGAAUUUUCUACAUAUGAUUUGAAGACAACAAAUGUAGAAAAUACAUCUGACUUAGAUUUCAAAGGAAAGAACCAACUAUAUUUGCUAUAGUCAUCAACAAUGAGCAAAUAAUAUUGAAAACCACUACUUGAUGUGAUUGAGGCAGGUCCCCACAGAUCACAGUGCAGUAGUUGAAGGCUGUGAGUUGUUGAUGAAGUAGCAGCUUUAAAUGGAAGCUUAUGAUUCUUGGCAAGAGCACAAUCCGAACAGAAAAAGUCCACAGUAGACUUGCCUUGUAAAGCAAGAUUAUUGGAUGAAAGGAGCCUUCUGAAAAUGGAGGAGGAAGGGUGACCCAAACGCUUGUGCCAAAUUGUAACUGGAGCUUUAAUACUAAGUAAAGCUGUAGGUGAAAGAGGAUGAAGAUUGCUGGAACUUUGAAGAGGAUGAAGCCAUCUCUAACCGGUCCCCGUAAAAGCAUCUUCCCCGAAAUACGAUCCUUGACAUAGGAUCCAUAAGGGUCAAGUGUCAAUGAACAAUUAUUAUCAUUAACAAACUGAUAAGCAGAUAAGAGAUUAUGGGUUAUGUGGGGAACAUGUAAAACAUUUCGCAAUUGAAAAGAGUUAUGAGAGGUGUGCAGAGUAGAUGAACCAACAUUGAGGAUGGAUAAACCUUUACCAUCUCCAAUAUACACUUUAUCCUCGCCAGUGUAGGGAGUAGGAGAGGUGAGGUUAGCAACAUCAUUAGUGAUAUGAGAGGUUGCCCCUGAAUCAAUUAACCAAGGCUGAGAUGGUUUAGCAGAAUGUUGUGCACACAUGGCAGCAAGCUUAGCUGGAGGAAUACGACCACAGAUGUCAGGAUUCAUACGAUCAAAGCAGUCAAUAGCCUCAUGACUGGUAGAACCACAGAUUUGACAAAGCACUUUGAAGUGAGAAGAGCCUUGAUUGCUGCGAAAGCCUUGAUAACCUUGAUUGCCACGGUUAUUAGGAAAAUUACCACGAUUACCUCGAUUGGAAAAGAACUGGCCCUUAGUGUUCCUGCCACGAUUUGAGUUGAACCGAGAUGCAGAUUGAAGAGGGAGAUUCUGAGCAGCAAAAGCAGAUGGAGUAGGAAGGAGAGGAGGCUAAGACUGCACCGAGAAAGCCUGAAAAGAUUCAGGGACAGGAGAUGAACUGACAGUUUUGCGUCUGGCCAUAGACAAUUCCUUUGUGAGAAGGAGGCCAUGAAGUUCAUCAAGAGAGGUAGAGGACAAUCGGAGCAUGAUACAGUCGAUGAAAGACUCAAAUUCAUCAGGCAAGCCAUGUAGUGUGGCGGCGAUAAGAUCUCGAUCAGAGGCAGAAGCACCAGCAGCUUGCAGAGAAUCUGAAAUUUCCUUGAGUUCUUGAAGAUAGUCAGAGAUAGAACGCGAUCCUUUCUGAACAGAUUGAAGGCGCGAUCGCAGCUGAUGGAUAUGCCUCUGAAAAUUCCACCAAAGCGCUGUUCAAGCUUUACCCAAAGUUCUCGAGAGGAUGAAACCCCAACCGUGAACGGGAUGAUUUCCUCAGAAAGUGUGGAAUUCAACCAGAUCAAAAGAUUUUGAUCUUUCUCAUACCAGUCCUCAAAAGCAGGAUUGAUGCUACGAUCAGGCAGAAAUGGCGAUGGACAGACGUCAGUACCAUCGAUUACUCCAAGAAGCUUGUAUCUCCGGAAAAUCGGGCCAAACAGGGCGCGCCAUGGUAGGUAAUUGGAUCUUUUGAGCUUGAUCGGCACCAUGCUGCCGAUGUUAUGAAUUGUGAGAGAAGUGUAGGAAGUCAGAGGACUCGGAUUUCCAGAGGAAUUAGGGUUUCCAGAGAAAUUAGGGUUUGGGCUCGAGGGGGAGAUGACCGGAGAAGAUGAACCAGUCGAUUGAGCCGCCAUUACUGACAGAAAUCAAGAAAUACUACAAGAUCGGAAGGGAAGAAGUGACGAUCAGAGAAGAAAAAUCGAUCAAGAGUCGAUCGAUGCAGCAAGCGAAGAGAAAGAUCGAAGCUGUGAAGCGGAAUGGCGUGAUACCAUGUAGAAACAGAAAACUUCAACAGUAAGUUUUCUUGAUUGUAUUUACUUGACUGAGAACUUUACACAUUGGGUAGGAAUAUAUAUAGCCUUUGGCUAUUUACAUAGAUACCCCUAACUACUUUAUAACUAUCUUAACUAAUCACAACUAAUACAAUCAGUUAAUUUACAGUAACAGAAUUAUUAACAGUAGCAGACUUGGAUGACUUGUCAUUCUCCCUAAUAUUCCCAUCAUUCCUAAAUGUUAUGCAACCGUGUAAGUAGAUUUUCUCAUCACCACCUAAAGUUCCCUUGUAAUGUUCACAUGAGUUCAUAAUAUACACUGUUCAGAUGUAACUUGGUGUCAAAAGCUUUUACCAUUCUUGGGAUGCUAUUUUAAGCUUUGCUCUUACUAGUCGAUGUUUCCCGUUCGUAAUGCAAUAAAAGUCUUGUUCAUUCAUUGCAGUCAUCCAUUUAAAAGUAAGAACAGGUUAGAGAAAAUCAUUCUGCACAUGCUUGAUAUGACAAUAGGUGUUUUCAGAUUAUGAACAAUAACUUUCAGCUCACUUAUGGGCUGGAAAGUAGAUACUCAAAACAAUCCAGGUAUUUUAAAAGACUACAGACAAAAAGAAAAAAAAAUGAUAUGACAGCUUGCCUGUUGUAUAGGCUCCAAUAUUCAGAAAGCAACAGGCACCAUCUUUUAGAUAUGAAGGAAGUUGCGCAAAUGGUAUGCCUCUCAGGUUUGACAAGAAAGGUAGAAACAGAAGAACAAAAAGAGCCUACAAGUCACAGGAAAUAAAGAAUAAUUUCAGCAAAACCAGUCACCAACCAGUAUCCUGUCAGUUAAAUUGAAAUUUUAUGUGCAGGACUUUACGGUUAACCUGAGUAAGCAGAUGUAAGGUGUGGAUACAUAUGAUAACAGUGAGGGAACCCCAGGCAUUUGAACGAAUAUAAAUAAUCCCAUAUCGAUGUCCACUUUCAAAUUAAAUGGACCUUCAUCACCUCUAAAAAUCUAGUUAAAGAUCGGCGCAAAUCUUUCUUGUUCUGGUAGGGUCUUGUGGUAUAAUUAACAGGGUCCACCAUACUAAGGUGCAUCAAGAUUACAAACAAGAUAAAAACUAUCUUAUAAAAAUAUAGCAGUCACCUGAAAUCCAGAUCCAAAAGAAUUGACAACAAAUAUGUCAAGUGAUUUUUCCUGCAAUGUAAAAUGGUUUAUGACUUAGAAAGUAUGCACGAGUAGUUAUGUCAACCAUAAAGUUUAGAAGGCUAGAUAACCAUUUGAAAAGAUGAGGAAAUAGCCAUACCUUAAGGUGGGCUGCAGCAUCAACAAAGACAAACUCCUGUUUGAAGACAAAAAUUCAAGAUUGAUUAUUUUGCUAUAAAGGGCACCACUGAACUUUUAACAAAUGUUCAUUGCUUUAACCUUGAUUAUAGAUGCACCGGCUUGAAAAGCACUUGAAGCAAUCAUUAGUGCUGGCCAUAUAGACUCAACUCCAGAUAGCAUCUGACCAGAAUCAGAGCCACUGCAAUUUCAUAAAAUACAUAUAACUAUCAGGAGCCUUACUUUAUAACAUGUCACAAUGAAACUCCAAGAGUGCAUGAUACUCUAGUUUAUGACACUGCAAAUUUACUUUCUAAGAAUAUGAAAUUUACCAACAACGUUCGCCAUCUCAAGAUAAAAUUCAGAGAAAGUGUCCAGUUAAAGCAUUGCUAAAGUUGGAUAAUAAAGAAAUUGGCACUUGACAGACUUUAUUAACCAAGAAGAAAGAACAAAACCCGAUAAAAAAUAGUAAGAAUAGAGGAGGGUCAUGAAAUACAUGCAGCCGUAGAAAUAUUUCAGUUUAUUCAGAAAAAACUUCAUUCGUAAUCAAAAUCACCACUAAGUGAAGACAGAAUAUUGGUAGCCAUUAUCACAUAAAAUGAUAAGGUUGUUCGUAUCCUAGGCAGUGCAUUAAAGAUAAAAGGAUGCCAAAAAGAAAAAAAGGUGAUAUCUAACAAACUCUCAAGUAAAGUGCAGAGCAGGCAUGCUUGUUAGAAGUACAAUCUUCAGGCAGACAUUCAAAACAGGGUGUUAAACUAAUCAUCAGCAGAAUAAAAAUAAGUUAUUUUGCCUUUCUUUUCAACAAAAAAAUUCGGGAAAAAGAAAUAUGCUACUGAAAAAACAGGAAGGACCUGGUCAUCUAAACCCCACAAUGUCCUCUAAGACUUUUUAUGUCAGCAUGCAUGCACGUAGCAAUAGAUGCAAGUAUUUAGUCCUUAAUUAUCCAAGAUGAAUUGUAUGAAAUCAAAUAAACUUACAAUUCCACUUCACAAACAAUAUCUUAGCGCAUGACCAAAAGGAGAUGCAUUGAUAAAAGGUGGGUAAUAUCCCCGCAUUUGACAUUUUACAAGAAAUUUACACUGGUUCUUGUCCAAAGAGUGGGGACAACAUUACUGAUUACUUCAAGAUGACUAGAUGAAAUGACAUAUUGGCACAUUAACUAGCUCUUUAACUUUUUUCGAACCAUAUAAUCACUAAUCGACAAUCACAAUUGACGACUUGAUGUUGGACCAGAAAAACCACUUUGAAAGUGUUGGUUAACCCAAAGGAAUGACCUUUCCACAUAGCAGAUUAUUUAAGCCGUAGAAAAUUAGUAAAUCUUUACUUUUAUUUCAUAAAGAGACAUUACUAAAAAGAAAAGAGGAGAAAUUAAGCUGGAGGAUAUGAGUAAUUCUUCAGCUACUUUGUCGAACUAUCUGACCAAACAUCAAGUUUUGCAGCACAGACGUUCAUCACUUGUAUUUCCAGUUUUGUUCUUUUUUUUUUUUUUUUAAUUAUCAUGGUAGGCUUGGCCAACAGAAAAUAAUUGGAAAAAACAAUGUUCCUGUAAUGAAGAGGCGUCUAACGAUUUUCUUUCUUUUAAUAUUUUCUCCCCAAAAAUAGCAACUGGCAAAGCAAAUUUACAUAUGCUAAACCCAAGAAAUCAAAAGAAGGGUAACAAACCGAAUAUGUCACUUUGCAAAUUACCUGCUGUGCAAGUACAAGACGACCUUCACAUUUACCAGAAGUACCACACAAUAGAGGAGAUGCAUAAUCACGUAGCUGAACGACAAGAGAACCUGCGUGCAAGAGAAUAUUACUCCCAUAUAGUCGAGAAAAUGGUAUAUCAUUUUCACAACAAACCGGAUCUAGCGUCUUUAUGACCUCUAUCAUCCCAUCAUCUCCACCAUCAAUCCUGUAAUACGAUUUGAAUGAUUGUUUAUAAAUUUCUCCUUUCAUCUCACUGACUGCUGAUGGAUCUUGUACAUCAAUCUCAACUCCAUUAAAGAAAGUUUUUCUUCCUUGAGUAGAAUCUACUGUUUCGGUUGUUUUAGGAAUCUGGUUGGCUUUGGAGACAAAUUCAUCAAGAAACUUCAACCUAACAGCUAUCUCAGAUGCCUCAUUCUUCAUCAGCCGAUAAUGUUCAUCAAACCAACCUUGCACCGGCUCUUCUUCAAUAUCAGCAGUUAACUUUCGUAUGCCAAACUUUAAACAGCCAACUUUCAUUGAACCAGGCUUCUUAGGUUUUGAGGUAUCUUUCUUCGUGGGAAAGAUGAGACUAGUUCUAGCAGCACUUACAAGCUUCAAAGCGCGCAACAUUUCUUCAACAGAAUCAUCAAUGGCGCGCAAUUCUAACCUAUAUGGCAAGCAAAUAUGAACAUCAAGGCCUUGAAUUACCCAAUCCCAUGUUGUAGCUACAGGUGUUUUUGCGUCGGAAGGGCAUGAGGCACUAGGAAUACGUGAAAUUUGCAUCCGGCUACUUUUUAAUACUCUGGACCCAUUAAAACUAAGCAUAAGCCCUUCAAGAAGUACACCUAUACGGGCAUUCUCAGAAAAAAUUGAUUGUACCUGAACCAUUGCAUCAACCCCAUCACCAGCCUCAGCAAAUAUGGACAGCAUUUCCACAUCUACAGCAAAAAUAGAUUCCCUCUUCUUGGGCUUGUCUAAAUUCACUGGUUCUGCAAUGACUUCUUUUUUCUGGUCAGAACCUUUCAUGCCAGGGGCAUCUUCACUACCAUGUCUCUGAAGCUUCUGAUUAUGUACAAGUAACUUCAACUGUAGUCCAAGUUCAACUAGUGAUAAUUGUACGUCAGGUUCCCACCUAACUGUAAUAUCAGUAGCACUGAAAAGAGAGCAAACAGCAACCUCUUUCAGACCACCAGAACGCCGUACAAAUUUGGAAUUCUGGAUGUCAUACAAAGCCACUUUCGCUUCCGGCUUAUCUUCCUCCAAGUGGUCCUGAUAGAUAGAUCUGGCUCUUUCAAGUUCAAUCUGUGUGGAUUGUUUCUCCUUGUUCACGCACAAACUUAAACGGAAGAUGUCAAGAGAAAUGGAAUACCUCAGUUUCUUGCGUUCAUCAGAUGUUGUGGACAUUAUGUCUGCAACCCGGGGUGUGCCAUCAUCUGAGGUACUUAUUACAACUUGACCACCUUGUGAUCCAUAGUUCACACGCUUAGGAUCUGCAACAACAGUAUUUUCUAAGCCUGCCUCACCACAAAAUUUCACAGAACAUCGUUCAAGAUUUAACUUCAACAGCUGAGUCCCUUUCCCUGAUGGUUUGGACGGACGUCCUCGGCUUUGUGAUGCUCUUCUUUCAGAAGAAGACAAAGUUUUCAAAAGUGCUUGAAAGGACAUUGCAGUUGAUAUAAGCGACUCAACACGCUUGAAUGUAAAAAACACACCCAUACCAGUCACAUCAACAGAUAAAACCAAUUUACAUUUCGGACUGUCUUCUUUGGAUGAUUCCAUGUCCUUUUUGCCCCAGUCCAGACUAACCUUUGCAACAUUAAUUAUAGAACCUGAAUUUGAUUCUACACCAAAAAGGCUCUCUUUCAAGCAUUCUUGGUAUUCAUCUGCCAUGUGCAAAUUUAGCUCACCAAGUUCCAUAUGUACAGUGGUUCCCGUAUUUGAUAUGUUAUUCGCAAAUAUGUGCGAUGAUUGAGAGCAACCCUACACCAGAAACUCAAAUGUUAUGACUUGUAAUUCAUAAUUUUAUUUUUGAACUAAAAAAAAAAAAAAAAAAAAAAGAGAUUAACGGGAAUAGGAAUACAUGAUUAAUGACAAAUAAAGAAGCUGAAGCUAAAGAAGAGCAAGAGACACAAUGGCUACUUCACCGGACAGUGAAAAUUAGACGGCAAAUCAACAAAAAUAGAGCUCUAUCACCUACAUAUAUGCAAAUGUUUUACAUUAUAAUAUGACUAAAUAUUAAUUGCUUAAGAACUUAGAAGUGCACUUGGUAGAGAAUGGUACUACAAUGUUGUUUUCUUUGAUCUAAUACAACUUUUUUCUUAAUCAAAACAGAAGGCCCUACUAUGUAUGACCUGCUUAGGGGUUUUAAUAUACACCUCACUUUUACUCAUUUUAAAGGAAAUAGAACAAAAACCACUCUGAAUUUUUGCAAUGGCGAAUGGAUAGUUUCAUAUCCUAUCACCUAUGAGUUCCCCAUGUACAUAAAAUGAUAUUCAAGCAAGGACAAGAAGAGCGUUCAAAACUCUACAAAUAACACAAAAUUCUAAUAAUAACGUUGCAUUGUGUACCUCCUAGCUUUACAUCCAUUUCAGCUCUGACAGGCAAGGUUGGCUGAAAAGUUAAAAGAGUUCCAAGUCAAUAAAUGACCCCCACCAUAUCAAAAAUGCAGUGCCUGUUUCCAAUGAAAUAUUGCAUAGGGAAUUCCAUGGGAAAUUCCAGAUUUGAUUCUUUUCAAAAUAUAUAUAUAUAUAUAUAUAAAUUUGAUUCUUUUCAAAAAAAAAAAAAAAAAUAUAUAUAUAUAUAUAUCGCAUGGGAAAUUCUGUAUUUGUUGGAAUGGACUGUAGCAGUGGCCCGUGGAUCUUAUCAUGUGCUUCGUUGCUUUUAGAAACAUUGUUUUCAUUUAUUUAGAGACUAUGUCCUCAGUUUCUUUCCUUAUUUUCAUCAUAUAAAUACAUUCCAUAUUAAACAUGGAAAGCACUACUAGUAAGUAUAAACCACAAACCUUCAGUGAAAAACCACAAUCAAAUAAUCCUUGAAUAGUGCUAAAUCAAUGAUCCAUCAAUAUAUUCUUCUCAACAAAAUAAAACAAAAAAAAAAAAAAAACGAUCCAUCAAUAUAUUCAGUAUCAGAAUUAACUGUACAUGAUGAUAUGUUUAAUUGGAUAUAUUUACCCAACGUAUGCAAGAAGUAUAAAAUAUAAGCAGAAGGAAGAGGAUUAACUUUUAAGAGACACAGGACUUAAACUGAAAAAACUUACCUGUACUGGAAUGUAAAAUAAUGAUACAACAUCAACUUUCAGUAUCUCCAAAACAGAAAUGCCAGCUUCUCUAAGCAACUGAAACAUAAUGUCAAAAAUCAUCAUCGAGAAUAGACCAAUAUGCAACGAAUGUGAAAAGUAAACACUAAAAUCAUAUUAACAGUGUCGAAGUUCCAUUCAUACAUGAAUCUCACUGAAAUCCAAUUGAACAUCAAGGCGUGUAGUCUCCCCCACAUCUUCACUGGAUUGUGAUUUGGUGCUUUUUAAUUGGAUGCCCAUUAUGUUAUUCUCGACAGAAAAAUCAUAUUCCCGAUGCGCAAAUCUCACGUCCAGUUUUGGUAAACUGAAGGAAACCUAUCAAAGAAGUAAAAUAUUAAUUCUUAUAAGGAACAAUUUAAUAAAAGAGAAGUUACACAAGUGGAUGAACCAGACGUUGAUGAAAGCACAUAAACAAGAACAAGGAAAGAUUCAAUCGUAAAUAAUUGCAUGAUACUUAAUAUGAUUCAAGAGGUUGACAUGGAAAAUGAAUUGCUAAUAUCAUCACAUUCAGUGCAACAACUCUGAGUAAUAGAUAUAGGGUAGAAAGAUGCAAGAGAAGCUGUCAGAAAGAAAUCACAUUAGAGUCCGGUGCCAAGCAAAACAUCGCAUAAAAUAAAGGUUGGUCAGAGUUUUAAAAUAAUCUAUAGCCCACUCACUCAACUUCAAAAUAGGCACAAAAAAGUUCAUGACUCCUCUACCCUUUAUGACUCUUUCUGGACAGGGGAGAUAUCCUCCAAGGCACACUUCUGGCACUAGUUUAAACUUGUUUCAGCCUCUUAAUACUGUAUACUAAAUUAUUGCUAUCACAUAACUAUUCAGGAUUUCACCUGACUGGUAAGGAUUAAGGAACAGCCUGGGAUAUGGGUAGGUGUUAGUCCAAAUCUUGGUAGGAGAAAAUCUAUACCAUCAUAUCGCAUGUAAUUACACAUACGUAUAGUCCAACAACUAAUUCUUUGAAAAUCUGACAAUAAAGCUUGAUGCUCAAGUAAUUAUUUAUCAACAAGAAAAGAAAACAUCUACAAAAAUGAACAAGGUAUCAAAACCAACUGUGCAAUCAUAACUUACAUUCACUAAAAAGGAAUAUCCCAAAAUUCUUUAAUAAAGAUGCCCAAUAUAAUCCCUUUCAAAAAAAAAAAGAUGCCCAAUAUAAAGAAUAUAAUUCUGUCUAGAAGAAAACACUUAACAAAAUUCAUGUUUAAAGGAAUCUGAACAGAAAGAAAAUGGCAUUAGUAAAAAUAUGACAAACUGAAGGGGGGAAGAGACGGACAGAUCAUGUUGAAAGCCAUAUUAGUUGACAAACCUUUUCUGGAAAUAGAGAGGUGUACUUUGAGAGUGCAACAAUCAUUUGUUGUUUUUUGUGUGGCUUUUUAGAAGCAACAGAAUCCGUAGCAGACCCUAGAAAAUUAUCAGGUUGAGAAGAAGUUUGUGAUGAACUUUUGCUUUUUGAAAGCAUCUCCUCAUUUAGGUUCACAGUAAUCUCUCCACAGGCAAUGUCCACAUUCUUGAUCAUUACACCGACUUCCCUACAUCCAAAUCAAGUGAAUAAAAAGAUAUUAGCUGGUUUACCUUGCCUUAUCAUUGGAAAUUAAAAAAAAAAAAAACAAAUCUAAUGAUAGAAGGGACACAAAAAGUAAUAUAAGAAUUUUUUUUUGAGAAGAAACAAAACAUUUUAUAGAAGAAAAAAGUAAUAUAAGAAUGAAAGUCUCAUACUCAAGAAAUCAUAUUGAAGCCACGUUAAAAGCAAUUAACUAGGCUUUUGCAUCUACAGAAAGAAACAUAUUUCUCCAAAGAUAAUACCUAUCAUAACCAAAUUCACAGGAGAGGAUGAAAUCUUCACAAAUAAAAAGAGCAGAUGUCCUUUCCAUCAUGGAGGAUGAUGACUGGCUUGCAGAAAUGGAUCCUCCAGUGGAAAAAUUGGAUAAGUCACAACUAACCCGUGGGUCACUCCUCAGAACAACAAUAGGUGAUAUCUGUAGCUUAACAAUAAGAUUUUGCUUGGAUGCACCAUCUUUAGACAUGUCCACUUUCAGUUCCUUCACUUCUAUGGAUGCUUUGGGCAUCUGUAACAUUUCAAAAAUUGUAACGACAAAAUAAAGUCCAUGGCACGAAAGAUACAACUGAAAAAUGAAAUGAAUAGACUACUACAACAACAACAACAACAACAAAGCCUUUUCCCACUAAGUGGGGUCGGCUAUAUGAAUCCUAGAACGCCAUUGCGCUCGGUUUUGUGUCAUGUCCUCCGUUAGAUCCAAGUACUCUAAGUCUUUUCUUAGAGUCUCUUCCAAAGUUGUCCUAGGUCUUCCUCUACCCCUUCGGCCCUGAACCUCUGUCCCGUAGUCACAUCUUCGAACCGGAGCGUCAGUCGGCCUUCUUUGCAUGUUCAAAAUCACCGGAGCCGAUUUUCUCUCAUAUUUCCUACAAUUUCGGCUACUCCUACUUUACCUCGGAUAUCCUCAUUCCCAAUCUUAUCCUUUCUCGUGUGCCCACACAUCCCACGAAGCAUCCUCAUCUCCGCUACACCCAUUUUGUGUACGUGUUGAUGCUUCACCACCCAACAUUCUAUGCCAUACAACAUCGCUAGCCUUAUUGCCGUCCUAUAAAAUUUUCCCUUGAGCUUCGGUGGCCUACGACGGUCACACAACACGCCGGAUGCACUCUUUCCAUCCAGCUCGUAUUCUAUGGUUGAGAUCUCCAUCUAAUUCUCCGUUCUCUUGCAAGAUAGAUCCUAGGUAGCGAAAACGAUUGCUUUUUGUGAUCUUCGCUAGAUUGCUCCGGUCAUUAGUGUGGAUAAGUAUAUAAAUGGAUAGAGAUAGGAAAGCAAACACAAGAUGUACGUGGUUCACCCAGAUUGGCUACGUCCACGGAAUAGAAGAGUUCUCAUUAAUUGUGAAGGGUUUACACAAGUACAUAGGUUCAAGCUCUCAUUUAGUGAGUACAAGUGAAUGAUUUAGUACAAAUGACAUUAGGAAAUAUUGUGGGAGAAUGAUCUCGUAGUCACGAAACUUCUAAGUAUCGGAGUGUGGUGUCGUCUUGACUUGCCUUAUCUGUCUCAUAGGUAGAUGUGGCAUCUUCUCUGGAAGUACUCUUCCUCCAUCCAGGGGUGGUAUCUUUAACUGGUGGAGAUGCACAAGGUAAUGUAUCAAUUUCACUUGAAGCUUACUUGUAGUUCAGGCUUGGUCAAGCGCGAUACAAACCAUGUAGUAGGAGUCCCCCAAGUCGCCGAGCUAGGGGGUCUGCUGAAAGAGGUGACAGACAAGGUAAGCAAUCAGAGCUCCGACUGAUUGUUCACCUUCUCCCCAUCUUGCAGCAGCAUGAAGGAUAAAGAGAAGAAAAAUGAGAAGAGAUGAUAUGAGAUACUUUUGCUUUUGAAGAAGUAACUUUCCACAGGCUUAUUCUUGAACUGAGCUGGAGGGUUUUCUAGUUUCCUCCAGAGUAUAAGGCCGACUGAAGAAUUUGAGGGUCAAAACAAGUCCAUCAAAUCUAGAGUACGUUCCACCCUGCUGAUAUGGGAUACUUUUGCUUUUGACAGAGUAAUGAAUGUAUCGGCACGUGUGCUGUUACGCUUGUCUCCACAUGCUUCCUUGUAUCCUUCGCACUUGCCCUAUCUGUUCCUCAAGCAGAUGCGGAAUCUUCCCUGGAAACAUAAGAUGUUGAAGAUGAGUACUCGAGAGCAAUGCCAGGUAAGUAAUCAGGUAAGGGGUUCCAGGCAGUCAGUUCCUGGCUGGAAGCUUGAUUCCAAGUGCUGACUGAUUGCUCUCUUUCUCCUUGUCUUGCAGGUAAAAACAAGGCCAAAAAAAAGACAGGGAAAAAGCAUGAUAUGGGAUACUCUUGCUUUUAACCCUGAUGAUAUGAGAUAUUCUUGCUCUAGUAUAGCUUGUUUGCAGAGGUAUUAUCGGGGGGAAAGAAAGCUGAAUAUUUCGAAAGGCUUCGUUGGGAGUGCCCUCUCAGAUAUGAUGAAGGGUUGAGCAUUUUUGCAGGUCUGCCUGUCCGUUGGGGAUGGAGGUCGACAUCUAUAGGAGUCUCCCUAACAACAAGUAGUAAUGCUAUUCCUUUACCCUGCUUGGUCAUAGCACAGUAGUGGGAGCUGCCAGUUUCACAUGUUUUAACUCUGUCAGAGCACUUUGAAAAAGUGGUCUGUGGUAUCUGGCUCUCGAGAUUCGGAGAACGAUGCCUCUUCGAUUUUUGAGAAAGCAAUCAUGCUGGGGGUAUGACUCUCGAGAUUCGGAGAGCAGUGUCUCUUCGAUUUUUGAGGAAGUAAUCAUGUUGGGAGUCUGGCUCUCGAGAUUCGGAGGGCGGUGCCUCUUCGAUUUUGGAGCAAGCAAUCUUGUUGGGAGUGUUGUCUCGAAUGUGAGUAAAGGUUGGGCAUGUUUGCUAGUCUACCUUGCCACGAAGCACAAAGGUUGACACACAGGGACUUUCCAAUUAUCCAGCAAUGGUACUGUUCCUUUACCCUCUCUUCGAUUUUGAGAAAGUAGUCAUGUUGGGAGUCUGGCUCUCGAGAUUCGGAGGACGGUGCCUCUUCGAUUUUGGAGCAAGCAAUCUUAUUGGGAGUGUUUUCUCGAAUGUGAGUAAAGGUUGGGCAUGUUUGCUAGUCUACCUUGCCACGAAGCACAGAGGUUGACACACAGGGACUUUCCAAUUAUCCAGCAGUGGUACUGUUCCUUUACAGUUGUGGGUAAUAAUAUGGUAGCUAGACCUUCAAAAUUUAUGUGUCUAAACUUUGUUAGUGUUGUUUCUUUGCUAUUCUUUUACCUUUCUUGGUCAGAGCGAUGUAGUGGGAGCUGCAAGCUUCACGUGCUCAACUUUGGCAGAGAACUUUGGCAAAGUUAUUUGUGGUACCCAUGAGCUAUUGUUGCGUGUGGGAAGUGGGUGAUUGAACAGUAAGAUUCAUGUGCUUUCUACUUCACCAGAAGUCUUCGACAGAAUGCCCAUAAUUUAUGCAAAGCUGAGUGUGCGUGUGACAGGUGCUGACAAGGCUAGAAAAGUAGGUGCCUCUUCGAUUUCUGAGAUCGGCCCUCGUGGUCUCUGAGCAGCCCAGCUUUUGAGAAAGCGAGCGCCUCUUCGAUUGAUUCGGAGAACGAUGCCUCAUCGAUUUUUGAGAAAGCAAUCAUGCUGGGGGUCUGGCUCUCGAGAUUCGGGGAGCAGUCUCUUCGAUUUUUGAGAAAGUAAUCAUGUUGGGAGUCUGGCUCUCGAGAUUCGGAGGGCGGUGCCUCUUCGAUUUUGGAGUAAGCAAUCUUGUUGGGAGUGUUUUCUCGAAUGUGAGUAAAGGUUGGGCAUGUUUGCUAGUCUACCUUGCCACGAAGCACAGAGGUUGACACACAGGGACUUUCCAAUUAUCCAGCAAUGGUACUGUUCCUUUACCCUCUCUUCGAUUUUUAAGAAAGUAGUCAUGUUGGGAGUCUGGCUCUCGAGAUUCGGAGGACGGUGCCUCUUCGAUUUUGGAGCAAGCAAUCUUAUUGGGAGUGUUUUCUCGAAUGUGAGUAAAGGUUGGGCAUGUUUGCUAGUCUACCUUGCCACGAAGCACAGAGGUUGACACACAGGGACUUUCCAAUUAUCCAGCAGUGGUACUGUUCCUUUACCCUUGUGGGUAAUAAUAUGGUAGCUAGACCUUCAAAAUUUAUGGGUCUAAACUUUGUUAGUGCUGUUUCUUUGCUAUUCUUUUACCCUUCUUGGUCAGAGCGAUGUAGUGGGAGCUGCAAGCUUCACGUGCUCAACUUUGGCAGAGAACUUUGGCAAAGUUAUCUGUGGUACCCAUGAGCUAUUGUUGCGUGUGGGAAGUGGGUGAUUGAACAGUAAGAUUCAUGUGUUUUCUACUUCCCCAGAAGUCUUUGACAGAAUGCCCAUAAUUUCCGCAAAACUGAGUGUGCGUGUGACAGGUGCUGACAAGGCUGGAAAAGGCUGGAAAAGUAGGUGCCUCUUCGAUUUCUGAGAUCGGCCCUCGUGGUCUCUGGGGAGCCCAGCUUUUGAGAAAGCGAGCGCCUCUUCGAUUUUUGAGAUCGGCCUUCGUGGUCUUUGAGCAGCCCAACUUUUGAGAAAGCAAACACCUCUUCGAUUUCUGAGAUCAACCCUCGUGAUCUCUAAGCAGCCCAGCUUUUGAGAAAGCAAACGCCUCUUCGAUUUCUGAGCAGGCGCCUCUUCGAUUUCUGAAGCUUCGUCGAGUGCAGAUUUUUAUAGGGGCUGGCAUUAAGUUCCAAAGCACACUUGAAUCUCCACCAGUAGAAGCUUCAUUCUUGCACUUCUAAGAUCUUGAUUUGUCCGACCUCUUCUCUCUUCAACACCUUUGAAAAUGUCUGGCCCCUCCGACCGUCGUUUUGACUUGAACCUUGUUGAAGAGGCAGCCCCGCCUUCUCCAGACAACAUAUGGCGCCCAUCCUUCGUCUCCCCUACUGGUCCUCUUACCGUUGGGGAUUCCGUGAUGAAGAAUGAUAUGACCGCUGCGGUGGUGGCCAGGAACCUUCUCACUCCCAAAGAUAACAGACUACUUUCCAAACGGUCUGAUGAGUUAGCUGUUAAGGAUUCGCUGGCUCUCAGUGUUCAGUGUGCAGGUUCUGUGUCUAAUAUGGCCCAACGCCUAUUUGCUCGAACCCGCCAAGUUGAAUCCAUUGGCGGCUGAAGUGAUGAGUCUCAAACAGGAGAUUAGAGGGCUCAAGCAUGAGAAUAAACAGUUGCACCGGCUCGCACAUGACUAUGCUACAAACAUGAAGAGGAAGCUUGACCAGAUGAAGGAAACUGAUGGUCAGGUUUUACUUGAUCAUCAGAGAUUUGUGGGUUUGUUCCAAAGGCAUUUAUUGCCUUCGUCUUCUGGGGCUGUACCGCGUAAUGAAGCUCCAAAUGAUCAACCUCUGAUGCCUCCUCCUUCUAGGGUUCUGUCCAGUACUGAGGCUCCAAAUGAUCCCCCUCCGGUGCCUUCUCUUUCUGGGGCUCUACCGACUGCUGAGACUUCUCCAAAGCAACCUUUGUGAAGGCUCCCUCUUGUGUGCUUAUUUUGACUCAUGUAUAUGUACAUAUUUGUAGCUUAUCGGGGAUAUCAAUAAAUAAGCUUUCCUUCAUUUCAACGUAUUGUGUUAAAUACACCAAAGCCUUCUUCGCUAAGUUCUUUGAAUUUUCUUUUGUUAAAGCUUGUAUGUUGAAGCUUUCUGAGUGGAGCAUGUAGGUUGGGGUAGUGUUCCCUUAAUUUCCCGAGUGAGGAAAACUUCUCAGUUGGAGACUUGGAAAAUCCAAGUCACUGAGUGGGAUCGGCUAUAUGAAUCUUAGAACGCCAUUGUGCUCGAUCCUGUGUCAUGUCCUUCGUUAGAUCUAAGUACUCUAGGUCUUUUCUUAGAGUCUCUUCCAAAGUUUUCCUAGGUCUUCCUCUACCCCUUCGGCCCUGAACCUCUGUCCCAUAGUCGCAUCUUCUAAUCGGAACGUCAGUAGGCCUUCUUUGCACAUGUCCAAACCACCGUAACCGAUUUUCUCUCAUCUUUCCUUCAAUUUCGGCUACUCCUACUUUACCCCGGAUAUCCUCAUUCCUAAUCUUAUCCUUUCUCGUGUGCCCACACAUCCAACGAAGCAUCCUCAUCUCCGCUACACCCAUUUUGUGUACGUGUUGAUGUUUCACCGCCCAACAUUCUGUGCCAUACAGCAUCGCCGGCCUUAUUGCCGUCCUAUAAAAUUUUUCCCUUGAGCUUCAGUGGCAUACGGCGGUCACACAACACGCCGGAUGCACUCUUCCACUUCAUCCAUCCAGCUUGUAUUCUAUGGUUGAGAUCUCCAUCUAAUUCUCCGUUCUUUUGCAAGAUAGAUCCUAGGUAACGAAAACGGUCGCUCUUGGUAUUUCUUGAUCUCCGAUCCUCACCCCUAACUCGUUUUGGCCUCCAUUUGCACUGAACUUGCACUCCAUAUAUUCUGUCUUUGAUCGGCUUAGGCGAAGACCUUUAGAUUCCAACAGUUCUCUCCAAAGGUUAAGCUUUGCAUUUACCCCUUCCUGAGUUUCAUCUAUCAACACUAUAUCGUCUGCGAAAAGCAUACACCAAGGAAUAUCAUCUUGAAUAUGUCGUGUUAACUCAUCCAUUACCAACGCAAAAAGGUAAGGACUUAAGGAUGAGCCUUGAUGUAAUCCUACAGUUAUGGGAAAGCUUUCGGUUUGUCCUUCAUGAGUUCUUACGGCAGUCUUUGCUCCUUCAUACAUAUCCUUUAUAGCUUGGAUAUAUGCUACUCGUACUCCUUUCUUCUCUAAAAUCCUCCAAAGAAUGUCUCUUGGGACCCUAUCAUACGCUUUUUCCAAAUCUAUAAAGACCAUGUGUAAAUCCUUUUUCCCAUCUCUAUAUCUUUCCAUCAAUCUUCGUAAGAGAUAGAUUGCCUCCAUGGUUGAGCGCCCUGGCAUGAACCCGAAUUGGUUGUCCGAAACCCGUGUCUCUUGCCUCAAUCUAUGCUCAAUGACUCUCUCCCAGAGCUUCAUUGUAUGACUCAUUAGCUUAAUACCCCUAUAGUUCAUGCAAUUUUGUACGUCGCCCUUAUUCUUGUAGAUAGGCACCAAAGUGCUCAUUCGCCACUCAUUUGGCAUCUUCUUCGUUUUCAAAAUCCUAUUGAAAAGGUCAGUGAGCCAUGUUAUACCUGUCUCUCCCAAAAGUUUCCACACUUCGAUUGGUAUAUCGUCUGGGCCUAUUGCUUUUUUAUGCUUCAUCUUCUUCAAAGCUACAACCACUUCUUCCUUCCGGAUUCGACGAUAAAAAGAGUAGUUUCUACACUCUUCUGAGUUACUCAACUCCCCUAAAGAAGCACUCAUUUCAUGUCCUUCAUUGAAAAGAUUAUGAAAAUAACCUCUCCAUCUGUCUUUAACCGCGUUCUCUGUAGCAAGAACCUUUCCAUCCUCAUCCUUGAUGCACCUCACUUGGUUUAGGUCCCUUGUCUUCUUUUCCCUUGCUCUAGAUAGUUUAUAGAUAUCCAACUCUCCUUCUUUGGUAUCUAGUCGUUUAUACAUAUCGUCGUAAGCCGCUAACUUAGCUUCUCUGACAGCUUUCUUCGCCUCUUGCUUCGCUUUUCUAUACCUUUCACCAUUUUCAUCAGUCCUCUGGCUUUACAACAUUCCUUCUUAGCCUUCACCUUUGUUUGUACCUCCUCAUUCCACCACCAAGAUUCCUUUUGGUGUGGGGCAAAGCCCUUGGACUCUCCUAAUACCUCUUUUGCUACUUUUCGGAUACAACUAGCCAUGGAAUCCCACAUUUGGCUAGCUUCCCCCUCUCUAUCCCACACACAUUGGGUGAUUACCUUCUCUUUGAAAAUGGCUUGUUUUUCUUCUUUUAGAUUCCACCAUCUAGUCCUUGGGCACUUCCAAGUCUUGUUCUUUUGUCUUACUCUUUUGAUAUGUACAUCCAUCACCAACAAGCGAUGUUGAUUAGCCACGCUCUCUCCUGGUAUAACUUUGCAAUCCUUACAAGUUAUACGAUCCCCUUUCCUCAUUAGAAGAAAAUCUAUUUGUGUUUUUGACGACCCACUCUUGUAGGUGAUCACAUGUUCUUCUCUCUUCUUAAAGAAGGUGUUGGCUAAGAAGAGAUCAUAUGCCAUUGCAAAAUCCAAGAUAGCUUCCCCAUCCUCGUUUCUCUCCCCAAAACCAUGGCCACCAUGAAAACCUCCAUAGUUGCCUGUCUCCCUGCCCACGUGUCCAUUUAAAUCUCCUCCUAUAAAUAACUUCUCCGUCUGAGCAAUUCCUUGCACCAAGUCUCCAAGAUCUUCCCAAAAUUUCUCCUUCGAACUCGUAUCCAACCCUACUUGAGGUGCGUACGCACUAAUCACAUUGAUAAGUUCUUGUCCUAUUACAAUCUUGAUUGCCAUGAUUCUAUCUCCUACCCUCUUGACAUCUACAACAUCUUGUACCAAGGUCUUGUCCACGAUGAUGCCAACACCGUUUCUCGUUCUAUUUGUGCCCGAAUACCAAAGUUUAAACCCUGAGUUUUCUAGAUCCUUUGCCUUACUACCAACCCACUUAGUUUCUUGUAGGCACAUAAUAUUUAUCCUUCUCCUCACCAUAACUUCCACUACUUCCAUAGAUUUUCCCGUUAAGGUUCCUAUAUUCCACGUUCCUAAACGCAUUUUGCUCUCUUGAACUCUACCCUUCUGUCCUAGCUUCUUCACCCUCCCCCGUCUAAUAGGAUCAAAGUACUUUUUUUGUGUGUCCCGGGUAAAGUUGAUAGGAGCAUAUGCUCCCAAACAACUUUGAGUGGAGUCGUUCGAAAAGAAGUUUCUAUGGCCCCCUUGCUCAUUUAACACUGCAUCCGGGUGCCGAUGGAGAUACAGCGACCCUUGCUCACUUAUCACUGUGCUCAGGCCACACAGCGCGCCACUUACGGGUGACGCCCUAGCUUUAGCGCGAUUUUGUUCUGGAUUCAUUUUCAUAAGGAUUCGACGUGAUCAUGGAGUGCCGGCUGUCGACUACCUGACGCCCUCCCCCUCCUCCUUUAUCCGGACUUGGGACCGGCCAUGUAAGACAUAGGCGGAGUUAAAUGAAUAGACUACUAGUUAACGAAAAAAAUUAAAAAGCACAGCCUCUUGAACUUGAUUAUUUCCAACCUAAUAUUUGUACACUAUCAGAUUCAUCCCUUUUUCUUGUCGAUGACACAAAAUAUGUCCAACUUAUUGGAAUAAAAUUUUGGAUCGCCUACAAAAAACCUCACAACUAUAGGGUCUAUUUCAAGUUGGUAUCCAAUCUCCAGAGGUUGGAUAAAAUGGUAAACAAACUUAAUAGUACCUACAUAUCCGAUCUCCGAGUGGGUCAGUUAAAUUCUUAUGUAGCAAACGUGUCCCAUGUUCUAUGAUUAAUCGGACUCCAAAAGUGUACCGUGCAUUUAGAAUGUCACGUGAAACACAAAACAAUAGAAAACUAGAGAACAUUUUGAAAAGUCAUCAGAAGAUGAAAUUUAAAUAAAAAAAUAACAUAAAAAACCAUAAAUCUAAAAGAAGGACUAAACCUCCUUCUCUUUUCUCUCCCUCCCUCUCUACCAUCUAUCUCUCCAACAGCUGCAGGUAGUGAGAGAGAGAACGUAAGGGCAUAGAGUGUCCAAGAGAGGGAGGUUUGUUCUUCCUUUUUAUUUUUGUGCUUUGUUUUCUAUCUUAUUUAUUCCACAUCGCAUUAGUAAAUACACAUGACACACUCCAGAUAACCAUUAAAAAUGAGACCCACAUUUGCCAUGCAAGCAUUUAACAAGCAUAUUGAGGGAUUAGUUGACCAUAUUUUCUUACUUACCAAAUUGUGAUCCUGUACCAACUUAAAAAAUAAUCCUAUAUUUUGAGGGGGUGGGAGGUAUGUAGUUUGAUAUAUUUUCUUAUUUAAAAAAAAAAAAAUUGGUGUUGCAUAUUCUUUCCACUUAUUUCAGAUGAGUUAACCUUGAACCGGUUUUAUUCUUCAAAUGGCAACUACAAAUAUCCUUCAAAAAGUUAUUCAUGAACAAACUUCUACGCAUUAAGAACGAGUAAAGCAAACAGAAGGUAUUCUACAGAUAAAAAGGGAUAAAAAUACUAGUACAAUCCAGCAUACCUUCAAAACCAAAUCUGUGAUGGAAACCGACAAAUAUCUUGCAAUAUUAGCCACAACCAUCCACUUUCCCCUGCCUGAAUUGGCCUUUGUCGUACGAGGUCUUCGAGGUUUAGCCUUUGCCGUACUUCUACUCGAAGGCCUCAUCACAACUUCUAAGUCACAUAUUAACACUUGCAGCUUAGGGUCUUUAGAAAUAAAACCAAACAGUUUGACCAAGGACUGACGUAAGCUGAGUUUAAUUUCACCAACAGAAACAGAUUCAACAGCGCCCUGCAAAAUUACCAUAGUCGUAAAUAAAAGAAUGUCAACAUCUAAUGGGCACUAAUCUGCUGACAAAACAAAAAUUUCCUAAAGCAUUGACAAUCAUCCAACAAAAUUCCAAACAGCAUAUGGAGGGCCCAGGGAGGGUUAGAGUAAUCCCUUCAUUUUCUUUUAGGUAGACUAUGAUCCAUUAU
rnacentral:lncRNA from 1 species